GGGCCGGGAGGGCCUGGCCUGGUGCAGGCCCGAGGGUGUCGCCGGCCUUGGAAGGCGCUGACGCUGGUCUGCUGCUGCUUCGCUUCCUCCUUGCCGCGCUCGAUCCUUUCCUCCCUGCCUCUCACUCCCUGGCGCAUGUGGGCAAGAGGAUCCCACCCCACCCCUCCGUUCCUUGGCUCCUUUUUCCCUUCCUGGUGCCGGGGUCUGGAACGUAGAUCCCAACUCGCCUCGAUCGGCGAAGGCCCAGAGCGUGUUUGUUUGCUCCUGUCUUUUGUGUGAUGCUCAGUGCAGAGUGGCUCUUUGCCGAAGACCGGCUUAGGAUUUUGCCAUUCCGUUUAGACUUGGGCAAUUCGCAGCAAUACGUUUAUACCUGAAAAAUGGUUGGCGUACUUAAACUGUUAAAGAAUGAUCGGCUGCUUGUUGGCAGUGGAUAAGGUUUUUUAGGUAACUUCGGUUCUGUUCUGAUGUGUGUUGUAGUCAGCAGGAGGAUUUACUGUCUUUACCCCAUUCUUCACCCCGUGUUUAUUUCUCUGGUGCUGAAACUAAUGUAUGCCUUUUGUGCUUCACUUCUUUUGGUCAGCUUGUAGUGAAUCUAUGUUUAAGCUAUUACGCCAAGUGACUUGGAACCCUAAAGCGUGAAAGGUUGGGGCAGCAUUUGAAGCUGUAAUACUACACAGUAUUUGUGAUUGGGCCUUGGGGGCUUGCCUUUCUGACGUCUGAAUAUGAUUUUAACGGUAACUCUUAAUGAGAUCUAGAUUUGCUAUUGUUUGAUGUGAUUCGGCUUAGUGACAUUUGAAAUUAUUUUUCUAGAUUUAUUGCUACAGACAUAAGCACGUGUUUGACAGUUCUCAAAACUGGGGAGCAGGUCUGAUAGGGAUACUUUUUCAAAAGAUGAUGUUGCUAGUUGCCUGUGAGUGGAUUCAGACUAGUGGUGACCCACCCCACGUGUGCAGCGUAGAACUGCUCUAUAUGGUUUUCAAGGCUGUAACAUUUUGAGAAGCAGAUUACCAGGCCUUACUUCUGAGGCACCUCUGGGGGAAUUUGAACCGCAAGCCUUUCUACUAGUAGUCCGGUGCUUAAACGUACAUUAUUAGCCCCAGAGAUUGACAAAUAGAAUAAAGCUGUUGCUUGGUACGGUUUCAUUUAGAAAAUUGUGUCACCAGAAUUGUCCAAGGUAUUCGAGGCCACAGGAAGACCACAGGUUUGUAGAAAAUUGCUACUCUUGGCAGUUUCGUCCACUUCAUCCCAUUGUGAGAGUUGCUGUAUGCAGAAUAAUUCAAAAAUAAUUCAGAAAAGACACAGAUAAUCAGGAGACAGAGAGGGAGGAAGUUUCCAGAACCACUAGAAAUAGGGGCCUUAGAUGACUUCUCAUCUACAGCUCAAAGACUAAAAGGCUAAUAAUCCCUUGCCAUUCUUUAUACUUGAGUUGCUCUUCUAGAAGCUACAAGAUUCUUAACUCUACCAGGCUUUUUGGAAUUUUCUGUUUGGUCUUUGAGGAUACAGAAGUUGCUUCCUUAACAUAGGGUAAUAAUAUUGGUGACCAAAGGCCUCAGUGGCUUCUAGAAGAAACAGGACAUUAUUAGAGAAAGUGCCAAAAUGUGGCCCAUUCAAGGAAUGCAUGUCCCUUCCUUUGAGCACAUUAGGGACGUUGGAAACAUCCAGCAGGCUUCCACAGUGUUACAUGUGGAAGUGAGUAGCCGUAUACAUUAUCUGUAAAUAACUUAGAUUUGACUAAUUUUGGAGCCUGUUUAAUUUAUUGGGUACUUUAGUGUUCUUUUUUUUUUUUUAAGAACCUGGUCUGGAAAUUUAGUCCUAGCUCUGCCAUUGAUUGUAAAAUUCCCAGCAAGGACAUCAUUUCAGUAACAGCAUUUUUCUUCCUUUAUGGGGAUGAUAUAGCAACUCGUUAACGGUAGAUACUAGGGUAAAAAACCCAUUGCCCUCAAGUCUGUUCCGACUCAUAAUGACCCUGUAGGACAGAGUAGAACUACCUUUCCAAGGAGCACCUGGUGGAUUCAAACUAUUGACCUUUUGGUUAGCAGCUGUAGGUCUUAACCACUAGGCCACCAGGGUUUCCAGUACUAGGGUCCAAACCAAAAACCAAAUCCGCUGGCAUCGAGUGGAUUGACUUAUAGUGACCCUAUAGGACAGGGUAGAACUGCCCCCGUAGAGUUUCCAAGGAGCCCCUGGUGGAUUCGAACUGUCCAACUUUUAGGUUAGCAGCUGUAGCACUUAACCGCUACGCUACCAGGGUUUCUGUUACUAGGGUAGGUACUGUAUUUCCUUUAUCACUUUCCUGAGUACCAAAUGUAGUGCUUUCCACCGAUUAGAGACUCAAUAUAAAAUGUAGAGUGACUUAGGGAAGUAAGCUAAUAGAGGCAGUUUUAUACUCCAGGGGAAAAAAAAAACCAAACCCUUUGCCGUCAAGUUGAUUCCGGCUCAUAGUGACCCUAUUUAAAAAAACAAAACAAAAACAUUGCUAUUUAGCUGAUUCCGACUCAGUGACCCUAAAGUAUUGGGUAAAUUAGAAGUGGAAGUAUUUCUUUCGGUAGGGGUGUCCAAAAUUUCCAAUUUAAUGAAUUUCUAUUCAAUUUUAUAUACAGAAAAAUUGAAAGAAGAGUACAGUAAACACCUGUGUGCAUUCUUCAGGAGGUGACUUUAUUUUUAUUUUUUAAUAAUUUUUAUUGAGCUUUAAGUGAACGCUUACAAAUCAAGUCAGUCUGUCACAUAUAAGUUCAUAUACACCUUACUCCAUACUCCCACUUACACUCCCCCUAAUGAGUCAGCCCUUCCAGUCUCUCCUUUUGUGACAAUUUUGCCAGUUUCUAACCCUCUCUUCCCUCCCAUCUCCCCUCCAGACAGGAGAUGCCAACACAGUCUCAAGUGUCCACCUGAUACAAGUAGCUCACUCUUCAUCAGCAUCUCUCUCCAACACAUUGUCCAGUCUCUUCCAUGUCUGAUGAGUUGUCUUCGGAAAUGGUUCCUAUCCUGGGCCAACAGAAGGUUUGGGGACCAUGACCGCUGGGAUUCCUCUAGUCUCAGUCAGACCAUUAAGUCUGAUCUUUUUAUGAGAAUUUGGGGUCUGCAUCCCACUGUUCUGCUGCCUUAGGUGUUCUCUGUUGUGCUCCCUGUCAGGGCAGUCAUCGGUUGUGGCUGGACACCAUCUAGUUCUUCUGAUCUCAGGAUGAUGUAAGUCUCUGGUUCAUGUGGCCCUUCCUGUCUCUUGGGCUCAUAGUUAUCCUGUGACCUUGGUGUUCUUCCUUCUCCUUUGAUGCAGGUGGGUUGAGACCAAUUGAUGCAUCUUAGAUGGCCACUUGUUAGCAUUUAAGACCCCAGACACCACAUUUCAAAGUGGGAUGCAGAAUGUUUUAUAAUAGUAUUAUUUUGCCAAUUGGCUUAGAAGUCCCCUUAAGCCAUAGUCCCCAAACCCCCGCCCUUGCUCCGAUGACCUUUGAAGCCUUCAGUUUAUCCUGGAAACUUCUUUGCUUUUGGUCCAGUCCAGUUGAGCUGACCUUCUGUGUAUUGAGUAUUGUCCUUCCCAUCACCUAAAGUAGUUCUUAUCUACUAACUAAUCAGUGAAUAACCCUCUCACACCCUCCCACCCUCCCUCCCUCCCCCUCUUGUAACCACAAAAGUAUGUGUUCUUCUCAGUUUAUACUAUUUCUCAAGAUCUUAUAAUAGUGGUCUUAUACAAUAUUUGUCCUUUUGCCUCUGACUAAUUUCGCUCAGCAUAAUGCCUUUCAGGUUCCUCCAUUUUAUGAAAUGUUUCACAGGCUCGUCACUGUUCUUUAUCGAUGCGUAGUAUUCCAUUGUGUGAAUAUACCACAAUUUAUUUAACCAUUCCUCCGUUGAUGGACACCUUGGUUGCUUCCAGCUUUCUGCUACUGUAAACAGAGCUGCAAUAAACAUGGGUGUGCAUGUAUCUGUUCGUGUAAAGGCUCUUCUCUAGGGUAUAUUCCGAGGAGUGGGAUUUCUGGGUUGUAUGGUAGUUCUAUUUCUAACUUUUUAAGAGAACCCCAGAUAGAUUUCCAAAGUGGUUGUACCAUUUUACAUUCCCACCAGCAGUGUAUAAGAGUUCCAAUGUCUCUGCAGCCUCUCCAACAUUUAUUAUUUUGUGUUUUUUGGAUUAAUGCCAGCCUUGUUGGAGUGAGAUGGAAUCUCAUCUGUAGUUUCAAUUUGCGUUUCUCUAAUAGCUAAUGAUCGAGAGCAUUUUCUCAUGUAUCUUUUAGCUGCCUGAAUAUCUUCUUUAGUGAAGUGCGUGUUCAUAUCUUUUGCCCACUUUUUGAUUGGGUUGUUUGUCUUUUUGUGGUUGAGUUUUAACAGAAUCAUAUAGAUUUUAGAGAUCAGGCGCUGGUCGGAGAUGUCAUAGCAGAAAAUUCUUUCCCAAUCUGUAGGUGGUCUUUUUACUGUUUUGGUGAAGUCUUUAGAUGAGCAUAGGUGUUUGAUUUUUAGGAGCUCCCAGUUAUCUGGUUUCUCUUCAUCAUUUUUGGUAAUGUUUUGUAUUCUGUUUAUGCCUUGUAUUAGGGCUCCCAACGUCCCUAUUUUUUCUUCCAUGAUCUUUAUCAUUUUAGUCUUUAUGUUUAGGUCUUUGAUCCACUUGGAGUUAGUUUUUAUGCAUGGUGUGAGGUGUGGGUCCUGUUUCAUUUUUUUGCAAAUGGACAUCCAGUUAUGCCAGCACCAUUUAUUAAAAAGACGAUCUUUUCCCCAAUUAACUGACACUGGGCCUUUGUCAAAUAUCAGCUGCUCAUAUGUGAAUGGAUUUAUAUCGGGGUUCUCAAUUCUGUUCCAUUGGUCUAUGUGUCUGUUGUUGUACCAGUAUCAGGCUGUUUUGACUACUGUGGGUGUGCAAUAGGUUCUAAAAUCAGGUAGAGUGAGGCCUCCCACUUUCUUCUUCUUUUUCAGUAAUGCUUUACUUAUCUGGGGCUUCUUUCCCUUCCAUAUGAAGUUGGUGAUUUGUUUCUCCAUCACAUUAAAAAAUGUCAUUGGAAUUUGGAUCGGAAGUGCAUUGUAUGUAUAGAUGGCUUUUGGUGGAAUAGACAUUUUUACUAUGUUUAGUCUUCCUCUCCAUGAGCAAGGUAUGUUUUUCCACUUAAGUAGGUCCUUUUUAGUUUCUUGCACUAGUGUUUUGUAGUUUUCUUUGUAUAGGUCUUUUACAUCUUUGGUAAGAUUUAUUCCUAAGUAUUUUAUCUUCUUGGUGGCUACUGUGAAUGGUAUUGAUUUGGUGAUUUCCUCUUUGAUGUUCUUUUUGUUGAUGUAGAGGAAUCCAAGUGAUUUUUGUAUGUUUAUCUUAUAACCUGAGACUCUGCCAAACUCUUCUAUUAGUUUCAGUAGUUUUCUGGAGGAUUCCUUAGGGUUUUCUGUGUAUAAGAUCAUGUCAUCUGCGAAUAGAGAUAAUUUUACUUCCUCCUUGCCAAUCCGGAUGCCUUUUUUUUUUUUUUAUAAAUUUUUAUUAAGCUUCAAGUGAACAUUUACCAUUCCAAUCAGUCUGUCACAUGUAGGUUUACAUACAUCUUACUCCCUUCUCCCACUUGCUCUCCCCCUAUUGAGUCAGCCCUUACAGUCUCUCGUUUCGUGCCAAUUUUACCUUCUUCCCUCUCUCUCUAUCUUCCCAUCCCCCCUCCAGUCAAGAGUUGCCAACACACUCUCCUGUGUCCACCUGAUUUAAUUAGCUCACUCUUCAUCAGUAUCUCUCUCCCCCCCACUGACCAGUCCUUUUCAUGCCUGAUGAUUUGUCUUCGGGGAUGGUUCCUGUCCUGUGCCAUCAGAAGUUCUGGGGAGCAUUGUCUCUGGGAUUCCUCUAGUCGCAAUCAUACCAUUAGGUGUGGUCUUUUAAUGAGAAUUUGGGGUCUGCAUCCCAUUGGUCUCCUGCUCCCUCAGGAGUUGUCUGUUGUGUUCCCUGACAGGGCAGACAUCGAUUGUGGCUGGGCACCAACUAGUUCUUCUGGUCUCAGGAUAAUGUAGGUCUCUGGUUCAUAUGGCCCUGUCUGUCUCUUGGGUUCUUAGUUGUCGUGUGACCUUGGUGUUCUUCCUUUGCCUUUGCUCCAGGUGGGUUGAGACCAAUUAAUGUAUUUUAGAUGGCUGCUUGUUGGCAUUUAGGACCCCAGGUGCCACAAUUCAAAGUGGGAUGCAGAGUGUUUUCAUAAUAGAAUUGUUUUGCCCAUUGAUUUAGAAGUCCUCUCAAACCAAGUUCCCCAGACCCCAGCCCCUGCUUCGCUAUCCUUUGAAGCUUUCAUUUUAUCUCGGAAACCUCUUUACUUUUAAUCCUGUCCAAUUAGGCUGACCUUCCUUGUUUUGAGUGUUGUCUUUCCCUUCACCCAAAGCAGUUCCCAUCUACAGAUUGAUCAAUAAAAAGCCCUCUCCCUCCCUCCCUCCCCCCUUUGUAACCACAAAAGUAUGUGUUCUUUUCCGUUUUUUCUAUUUCUCAAGAUCUUAUAAUAGUGGUCUUAUACAAUAUUUGUCCUUUUGCAACUGACUCAUUUCACUCAGCAUAAUGCCUUCCAGAUUCCUCCACGUUAUGAAAUGUUUCAGAGAUUCGUCACUGUUCUUUAUCGAUGCGUAGUAUUCCAUUGUGUGAAUAUACCACAAUUUAUUUACCCAUUCGUCCGUUGAUGGACAUCUUGGUUGCUUCCAGCUUUUUGCUAUUGUAAACAGAGCUGCAAUAAACAUGGGUGUGCAUAUAUCUGUUUGUGUGAAGGGUCUUGUAUUUUUAGGGUAUAUUCCGAGGAGUGGGAUUUCUGGGUUGUAUGGUAGUUCUAUUUCUAACUGUUUAAGAUAACGCCAGAUGGAUUUCCAAAGUGGUUGUACCAUUUUACAACCCCACCAGCAGUGUAUGAGAGUUCCAGUCUCUCCGCAGCCUCUCCAACAUUUAUUAUUUUGUGUUUUUUGAAUUAAUGCCAGUCUAGUUGGUGUCAGAUGGAAUCUCAUCGUAGUUUCAAUUUGCAUUUCUCUAAUGACUAAUGAUCGAGAGCAUUUUCUCAUGUAUCUGUUGGCUGCCUGAAUAUCUUCCUUAGUGAAAUGUGUGUUCAUAUCCUUUGCCCACUUCUUGAUUGGGUUGUUUGUCUUUUUGUGGUUGAGUUUUGACAGAAUCAUGUAGAUUUUAGAGAUCAGGUGCUGGUCUGAGAUGUCAUAGCUGAAUAUUCUUUCCCAGUCUGUAGGUGGUCUUUUUACUCUUUUGGUGAAGUCUUUAGAUGAACAUAGGUGUUUGAUUUUUAGGAGCUCCCAGUUAUCUGGUUUCUCUUCAUCAUUUUUGGCAAUGUUUUGUAUUCUGUUUAUGCCCUGUAUUAGGGCUCCUAGGGUAGAUCCUAUUUUUUCUUCCAUGAUUUUUAUCGUUUUAGUCUUUAUGUUUAGGUCUUUGAUCCACUUGGAGUUAGUUUUUGUGCAUGGUGUGAGGUAUGGGUCCUGUUUCAUUCUUUUGCAAAUGGAUAUCCAGGUAUGCCAGCACCGUUUGUUAAAAAGACUAUUAUUUCCCCAAUUGACUGACACUGGUCCUUUGUCAAAUAUCAGCUGCUCAUAAAUGGAUGGAUUUAUAUCUGGAUUCUCAAUUCUGUUCCAUUGGUCUAUGUGCCUGUUGUUGUACCAGUACCAGGCUGUUUUGACUACUGUAGCUAUAUAAUAGGUUCUGAAAUCAGGUAGGGUGAGGCCUCCCACUUUCUUCUUCUUUUUCAGUAAUGUUUUGCUUAUCCGGGGGUUCUUUCCUUUCCAUAUGAAAUUAGUGAUUUGUUUCUCUAUUCCCUUAAAGUAUGACAUUGGUAUUUGGAUUGGAAGUGCGUUGUAUGUAUAAAUGGCUUUUGGUAGAAUAGACAUUUUUACUAUGUUAAGUCUUCCUAUCCAUGAGCAGGGUAUGUUUUUCCAUUUAAGUGUGUCCUUUUGAAUUUCUUGUAGCAGAGUUUUAUAGUUUUCUUUGUAUAGGUCUUUUACAUCCUUGGUAAGAUUUAUUCCUAAGUAUUUUAUCUUCUUGGGGGCUACUGUGAAUGGUAUUGAUUUGGUGAUUUCCUCUUUGAUGUUCUUUUUGUUGAUGUAGAGGAAUCCAAGUGAUUUUUGUAUGUUUAUCUUAUAACCUGAGACUCUGCCAAACUCUUCUAUUAGUUUCAGUAGUUUUCUGGAGGAUUCCUUAGGGUUUUCUGUGUAUAAGAUCAUGUCAUCUGCGAAUAGAGAUAAUUUUACUUCCUCCUUGCCAAUCCGGAUGCCUUUUAUUUCUUUGUCUAGCCUAAUUGCUCUGGCUAGUACCUCUAGCACAAUGUUGAAUAAGAGCGGUGAUAAAGGGCAUCCAGGAGGUGACUUUAUUUUUAAACCUUUUUUUCUUUAAAGACUGCAAAAUAAAAUUUUAUUCCACUUAGUUUGAGAAUUAAGCCUGAUUUUUGUGUUUGAAGUAGCAUCACAUAAUUAAAGAAUUUAGCUAGACACAUUUGAGGAGAAAUGUAUCUAAUAAAUUUUGUGCUUACUGUUCGAUAUAUAGGACUAUUCGAUAGGGAAGUCGAUAGUGUGCUUUUUUAUUCUUUUGAAUACAAAUUCAAGGAAGAUUGUUCUCUGUACUUGCUGUUAGAAUUAUGACAAGGCAGAGCAUGUGAAUAUUUACAUGGCAGCAUACUAAACCGCAUUUUUAUUUAGAAACAGUGUGGGUGCAUAUAGUGUUAGGUUAAAUCUUAAGGUUAAAUCUUUCAAGGUUCACUCUACCGUGGUGGUCAAAUUUGUAUAGUAAUUCACUCACAAAAUUUACUUAAAGAUAUUUAUGAUUACUUUUGAGUAAUUUCAACAGAUAUUUUCUAUUUAUCUAAUACAUCAUAUGUGAACCAACUAAAAAUCUGUGUAUAAGUUGUAACAUAAACUGCAUGUAGGCUAUAGAUCACAGCUUUUCCUUGGUCGUUUUGGUCAUUAUUUUGAAGGUAUGUGUUGUGUGUGGGAUUCUUCUUUUUUUAACCUUCUCAGAUGAGUCAUGCUUUUAAAAAGGACUAGUAUACACAAUGGCCCACUAUUAAUAGUAGUUCUAAUAGCAGUAAUGGUGCGGUAGUAGUGCUGGUUAUUUUAUUUUUUAUAUAAACCCAGUAUUUUGUAUAUAUAUGUGUGUAUAUAUAUAUGUAUACAUAUAUAUAGUAGUUCUAGUUAUAUGAAAGAUAUAAUUAGAAAACAGGAGAGAAAGGAAAAAUAUUCCCCAGGCUGUUCUAUGUUCUACCAGGCGAAGGUGUAGAAACACCCCCAAAAAAGAAGAUACUGCUCUCUAAAAUGUUAUAAAGAGAUAAAGACGUUUUAUAUUGAGGAUAAUUUUAAUACUUUAUGUAUUCUUGGCUGAAAUAGCCAGUAGUAUUUAGUACUUAGAAGUUUUAGAUGGAGACAGUUGAUUUCCUAGAAGUUUAUUUGUGAUGUUUAUAGUUUUCCUUAGGUUUCUUGUUAGAGUUAAAGAAAUAAAAAAAAAAAAAAAAACUUUUCGAUAUAGAAAUUUUCAAACAUAGGCAGGAGUACAAUGGUAUAAUAUGAAUCCCCAAGUUUACAUCACCCAGCUUCUUCAGCUAUCCCUACCACUUUAUUUAUUUAUUUCGGUGCAGGGUUUCGGAAGCUGGAAUAUUUUAAAGCAAACCCUAGAUGCCAUGUCAUUUCACUCAAAAGUAUGUCAAUAUAUGUCUCUGAUAAGAACUUAAAAGAAAAACAAAAACCUAGAAUCUAACUGUUCUUUCAUAGUACUUAUUUAUAAGCAUCAUGAAAUAUUUCUUCUGAAUUUCUUGGUACCCUCUCUUGGCAUGUUAUUGUCAGAUUUUAACUUUAAGGAUCACUAAGUACUAUGCACAGAGUGACUGUUUUGUAAAUAUUUAAGAUGGGCUAUCUUAUGUAUUGACAAGGAAUUAACAUUUCAGUAUUACAAGCGUAAACCUACUUUCAACUCAUAGGUGAAUAUUUUCCUUUUUCUAUUUUUGAUCUUUCUCUUAAUUGUAUAUCUGAGAUAGUGUACAAUACUAUCUUUGUCAUCUCUUUUAAUACUCUUGAUAGUCCUGUGAAAUGGAUAGUAUUAUUUUACUUCAGUUGAGAAACAAGCUUAAAGAGAUGAAGUAAUUUGUCCAAGAUUAUAUUCUAAGUGAUAGAGCUGGUAUUCAGCAAAUUCUCCUUGACUUGAAUGUCUAUACCCUUUCCAUAUGGAUGGUUACAGCUAGGGAAAUAUGUGACUGCUGAGAAUGUCAGGGGUUUGUAAAAUGGACACAAAACAAGAAGAGUCACCUGAAAAUAGGAUCCUUUUUUCUUCACUACCAGGAACAAUCGAGUGGCAACAACUCUUUCCCCCCGCCCCGCCCCCGUUGGUACAGUUAAAAGUAAUUUAUUUUGUAAGUGGCAACUUUUCUUUGUCUUCUUUUUUUUCUGUUUAUAUUUUUAUUGUGCUUUAAGUGAAAGUUUACAAAUCAAGUCAGUCUCUCAUAUAAAACCUUAUAUAAAAACCAAAACCAAACCCACUGCCGUCGAGUCAAAUCUGACUCAUAGCAACCCUAUAGGGGACAGAGUAGAACUGCCUGAUAGAGUUUCCAAGGAGCACCUGGCGGAAAAACCUUAUAUACACCUUGCUAUAUACUCCUAGUUGCUCUCCCCCAGUGAGAAAGCACAUUUCUUCCCUCCACCCCGUGUUUAUUCAGCCAGCUUCUUUUCCCCUAGGCCUUCACAUCUUCGCUCCAGAGUGGAGCUCCACACAUAGUCUCAUGUGUCUUCUUGAUCCAAGAAGCCCACUCCUCACCAGUAUCAUUUUCUGUCUUAUAGUCCAGUCCAAUCCCUGUCUGAAGAGUUGGCUUCAGGAAUGGUUCCUGUCUUGGGCUAACAGAAGGUCUGGAGACCAUGACCUCUGGGGUUCCUCUGGUCACAGUCAGACCAUUGAGUCUGGUCUUUUUACGAGAAUUUGGGGUCUACAUCCCACUGCUCUCCUGCUCCUUCAGGGAUUCUCCGUUGUGUUCCCUGUCAUGGCAGUCAUCGGUUAUAGCCAGGCACCAUCUAGUUCUUCUGGUCUCAGGCUGAUGUAGUGUCUGAUUUAUGUGGCCCAUUCUGACUCUUGGGCUCAUAUUUACCUUGUGUCUUUGGUGUUCUUCAUUUUCCUUUGCUCCAUGUGGGUUGAGAGCAAUUGUUGCAUCUUAGAUGGUCCCUUGCAAGUGUUUAAGACCUCAGAUGCCACCCUCCAAAAUGAGAUGCAGAAUGUUUUCUUAAUGGUUUUUAUUAUGCCAGUUGACCUGGAUAUCCUCUGAAACCAGGGUCCCCAAACCCCCGCCCCUGUUACGCUGGCCUUUGAAGCGUUUGGUUUAUUCAGGAACUUCUUUGCUUUUGGUUUAGUCCAGUUGUGCUGACUUCUCCUGUACUGUGUGUUGUCCUUCCCUUCACCUAAAUUGGUUCUUGUCUACUAUCUAAUUAGUGAAUCCCACCUCCCUCCCUCCCUUCCUCCCCCUCUCGUAACCAUCAAAGAAUAUUUUCUUCUCUGUUUAAACUGUUUCUUGACUUCUUAUAAUAGUGGUCUCAUAGAAUAUUUGUCCUUUUGCAACUGACUAAUUUCACUCAGCAUAAUGCCUUUCAGAUUCCUCCAUGGAAUGAAAUGUUUCACAGAUUCAUCGUUGUUCUUUAUAGAUGCAUAAUAUUCCAUUGCGUGAAUAUACCAUAAUUUAUUUACCCAUUCAUCCAUUGAUGGGCACCUUGGUUGCUUCCAUCUUUUUGCUGUUGUAAAUAGUGCUGUUUUGAACAUGGGUGUGGCUAUAUCUGUUGGUGUAACAGCCCUUACUUCUCUAGGAUAUAUUCCAAGGAGUGGGAUUGCUGGAUCAUAUGGUAGUUCUAUUUCUCCGUUUUUGAGGAAGUGCCAAAUCAAUUUCCAAAGUGGUUGUACCAUUUUACAUUCCCACCAGCAGUGUAUAAGUGUUCUAGUCUCUCCACAACCUCUCCAACAUUUAUUAUUUUGUGUUUUUUGGAUUAAUGCCAACCUUGUUGGAGUGAGAUGGAAUCUCAUUGUAGUUUUGAUUUGCAUUUCUCUAAUGGCUAAUGAUCUUGAGCGUUUCCUCACGUAUCUGUUAGCUACCUGAAUGUCUUUAGUGAAGUGCCUGUUCAUAUCUUUUGCCCACUUUUUAAAUGGGUUAUUUGUCUUUUUGUAGUGGAGUUUUUGUAGUAACAUGUAGAUUUUAGAGAUCAGCCGCUCAUCGAAAAUGUCAUAGCUAAAAACUCUUUCCCAAUCUGUAGGUAAUUUUUUUACUCUUUUAGUGAAAUCUUUGGAUGAGCAUAGGUGUUUGACUUUUAGGAGCUCCUGGUUAUCUAAUUUCUCUUUGGCUGUUUGUGCAUUUCUAGUAACGUUUCAUAUACUGUUUCUGCCAUGUAUUAGGGCUCGUAGCGUUGUUCCUAUUUUUUCUUCCAUGAACUUUAUUAUUUUAGAUUUUAUAUUUAGGUCUUUGAUCCAUUUUGAGUUAGUUUGUAUGCAUGGUGUGAGGUAUGGGUCUUGUUUCAUUUUUUUGCACAUGGAUAUCCAGUUAUGCUAGCACCAUUUGUUAAAGAGACUGUCUUUUCCCCAUUUAACAGACUUUGGGCCUUUGUCAAAUAUCAUCUGCUCAUAUGUAGAUGGAUUUAUGUCUGGAUUCUCCGUUCUGUUCCAUUGGUCUAUGUAUCUGUUGUUGUACCAGUACCAAGCUGUUUUAACUACCGUGGUGGUAUAAUAUGUUCUAAAAUCAGGUAGUGUGAGGUCUCCCACUUUGUUCUUCUUUUUCAGUAAUGGUUUACUUAUUUGGGGCCUCUUUCCCUUCCAUAUGAAGUUGGUGGUUUGUUUCUCCAUCUCAUUAAAAAAUGUCACGGGUAUUUGGAUUGGGAUUGCGUUGUAUCUAUAGGUCAUUUUGGGCAGAAUGGACAUUUUUACAGUGUUGAGUUGUCCUAUCCAUGAGCGAGGUAUGUUUUUGAGUGGCAACAACUCUUAUGCAUUGAAGUAUCAUGGAUUUCUCAGGAAGACAGACCAGCAUUAUGAGACAAAACUAAUUUAAUUACUUGUCUGAGUCCAUCAAGAGCAGAAUUUCUGCUUAAUGAAAAAAUUUUCAAGUCCCAAUUUACCUUAAACAGGAUUUGUAGUAGUAUAACGGGAAAAUUUAGAUAUAUUUCACUGCUCUUUGUAUCGAAUCCAUAAAACAGCAGAAAGUGAACUGAGGUUAGAGCUGGCACUGCCAUUAACUAAUUGUAUGACCAUGGGCAAGUCAUUUUACCAUUCUGAGUCUCAGUUUCCUGAUGUGUUAAAUGAGAGGUAUGUAAGAGUACAAUUUAUGAGGUACCUGUUAUUUAACCUCUGUGAAUUGUUUCCUGCAUGUAUUCUCUAUUUGUUUAUAUUGUAUAGUUUGUGUGUACCCGUUUAUGGGGGGGGGGAGGAGGAGUGUGAAUAAUAAUACCAAACAGCAAUUAAAGCAAUUUGGCUUUCAGAUAUAAUUGUUUUGUUUGAGCCAAUAUGAAAUUUCCUCCUAUGCUAACUCUUAGUGGUUGGAGGCAAUCUAACCACAUAAUCAAGCCAUUAUUGAUCUCCUAUUAUGCACCUGGAGCCCUGGUGGCCCAGUGGCGCAUAAUAGGAGGACAAUUUUUUUUUUUUAAUUUGGUAUUAUGCACCUAUCAUUGUGGAAGAACACUAGUACUUUUAAGAUACCACCAUUACUUACAGUUGGUUUGAUAAAUGAGAUUGUGAUAAACAAACAUUUGUAUAAGAGAGUGUUAAUCACUUGAUAUCAUACAGGUAGUAAGUUCUUUAGAGCAGCAAAAAGAGCACAGGAUUAUGAUUCCAAAGAUCUGGCUGGAACCCAGUGCUGCUACUCUUAGCUUAAAAAUCAUAUCACUUUUUUUCCUUAAGUAGCAAUUGUCUACUUCUAAGUGAGGCUAUACAUAAAAUCAUGAAUUUGAUGUGGUAUACAUUUCUCUAAUGUACAUUAAAUAUGUGAUCACUAAAAUAUACAAUAUUAACAAAUACUACUUCAAAUAAUCUCGCAUGCCACCAGUGUUACAUGCUUUGGAAAACACCCAAACUAAUUAUCUCUUAAGAUCCUUCCAGGUCUGAUGAUUUGGGACUCUGCGAUCUGUGAGAAUAGAGAGAAUGUGCAAGGGAGGUGAAAAGGGAAGAUGCUUUGAGGAGUUAAGGAGGCUAUACUGACAGAAGUAGAGUUUGAGAGGUAUUCCAGUUUCAGAUCGUAAAGGGUCUUACAUGCAUCACUGGCUGGUUAUACAAGCAAAACCCAGAAAUGGAAUGUGUUUUUAACCCAACCUGACAUAAAAAUUUUCCUGCAGAUAAUAAUUGAGAAUGUCCCGUAAAUUGGAAACCCUGGUUGUACAGUGGUUAAGAACUGCAUCUGCUAACCAAAAGGUCAGCAGUUCGAAUGCACCAGGCACUCCUUCGAAACUCAGUGGCAGUUCUACUCUGUCCUAUAGAGUUGCGAUGAGUCGGAGUCGACUCGAAGGCAAUAGGUUUUUUUUGUCCAGUAAAAUAACACUGUCAUUUACAGCAAAUACUUUUUAAGAAGCUUCUUGCUAAGAGUGCUUUAUAAUAUAUAGUUGCUUAAUAAUUCAUUGUUCUUUGGAAGGAAAUAAAAUACUUGAACAUUCUAAAAGAUGAAAUGUUACAUUUCUCUUUUGUCCAUUUUUUCUAAUGCGUUCAAAACUAAUUUAGUCAGCAGCAAUCCAAAAAAAAUCUUGUUUACAUGAAAUAUUUAUGUAUUUUAAAAAGAAACAGUUAAAAUGGCUUAUAGACUGUCAUGCAAAUUAAUUUUUCAUCCUUCAACAAACAUUUAUUGAAUACCUACUAUACGCAAGACACUGUGCUUGGUGUUGGAGGAUGCAAAUAUAUGAUAAUAGUUAGCAUUUAUCAAGGGCUUUCUAUGUGUCAUUUCCUAAGGUGCCAGAUGUAUUCUAGGCGUUAUAUCUCAUUUAAUCCCAAGAGAUGUAAACGAGCAAACUGAGGUUAAGUAACUCAGAGCCACUAAGUAAUAGAACUUAUAUUUGAAAGCAAGUCUGUCCAACUGUAAGAUAACUUUGUCCCAAUAUUGUAUGAGACCACUACUGUAAAAACUCAUGAAAAGGUUUACACAAAAAAGAAAAUCUUCGAUGGUUAUGAGAGAGGAGGGGUGGAGAUGGAAAAACACUAAAUACACAAUAGAUAAGUGGUAACUUUGGUGAAGGGGAAGACAAUACACAGUACUGGGGAAGCCAGCACAGCUUUAUAAGGCAAGGUCAUAGAAGUUCCAUAGACACAUCUAAACUACUUGAGGGACCAAAUUGCUGGGCUGAGAGCUGUGGAGACCAUGGUCUCAGGGAACAUCUAGCUCAAUUGGCAUAACAUAGUUUAUAAAGAAAAUGUUCUACGUUCUACUUUGGUGAGUAGUAUCUGGGGUCUUAAAAGCCUGUGAGGAGUCAUCUAAGUUAUUCCACUGGUCUCACCCCUUCGGGAGCAAGGGAGAAUGAAGAAAACUAAAGAUACAAGGGAAAGAUGAGUCCAAAAGGCUAAUGGACCACAUUUGCCGUGGCUUCCACCAGACUGAGUCCAGUAUAAUUAGAUGGUGCCCAGCUACCACCACUGACUGCUCUGACAGGGGUCACAAUAGAGGGUCCCAGAUAGAGCUGGAGAAAAAUGUAGAACAAAAUCUAACUCACAAAAAAAAGACUGGACUUCCUGGCCUGACAGACUGGAGAAACCCUGAGAGAAUGUUCCCUGGGCACCCUUUUACCUCAGUAAUGAACUCACUUCCAGGGGUCACCCCUCAUCCAAAGAUUAGAUGGGCUCAUAAAAUGAGACUAAAGGGGCACACCAGCCCAGGGACAAGGACUAGAAGGCAGGAUGGGACAGGAAAGCUGGUAAACCAAUGUCAUGAAACAAUAUGUAUACUGUUUAAUGAGAAACUAGUUUGCUCUGUAAACCUUCAUCUAAAGUACCAUUAAAAAAAAAAACAAAAAACUCUGCCCCCUGCUCCCCUCCGUAAGGCAUUUAUAAUCUAGAACUGCAUUUUUCAUUGUGGUAGUCUUCAGCCAUGUGUGGCUUUUGAGUAUUCGAAACAGAGCUAGUCUGAAUUGAGAUGCGCUGAAAGUGUAAAAUACGCACUUGACUUAGAAUACUCAGUACAAAAAAAGGAUGUACAAUAUAGUUUUAGAUGAUUAAAUGACCAUAUUUUGGAUAUAUUGGUUAAAUAAGAUAAAUUAUUUAAAUUUUGUUUUUUAAUAUAACUACUAGAAAACAUAAAAUUAUGUAUGUGGAUCACAUAUUUCUUUUAGACUGCACUGAUCUAGAAGAAGGAAAAGAUAUUUGUAUUAAAUCAUAAUACAAAUGUUAAAGUAUUAAGCGCCAUUUAAAAAAAAAAAAGCUCCAAUGCUGUCGAGUUGAUUCCAACUCCUACGACCCUAUAGAACAGAGUAGAACUGCCCCAUAGAGUUUCCAAAGAGCGCCUGGUGGAUUUGAACUGCUGACCUUCUGAUUAGCAGCCAUAGUUUUACCCACUACGCCACCAGGGUUUCCGAGCACCGUAAGAGAGGGGUAAAUUAAAUGAUAUGGGCAUAUGGUGGAAACCCUGGUGGUGUAGUGUUUAAGUGCUAUGGCUGCUAACCAAAAGGUCUUCAGUUUGAAUCCAUCAGGUGCUCCUUGGGAACUCUAUGGGGCGAUUCUACUCAGUCCCAUAGAGUUGCUUUUGCAACAGGUUUGGGCAUAUGGUAAAGGAAAUUGUUAGAAGGAUCAGGAAAAAAAGGUCUUUAGUACCUUUCAUUCUUCUCCUCCUAAAUUGGUGGCUCAUAUCAUGACCUUCUUAAUUUGGCAACUUUAAGAUGCCUCCCAACCUUGUUAACGGAUGGAUCUUCAGCGUGCCUAGUUUAUGAGUGGUAAGGCAUGCAGCGUGCCUAGUUUAUGAGUGGUAAGGCAUGCUGUAGUUCCAUUAACUUGAGAGCAACAAUACUCUGAUAAAACUGGAAGUCAGUAGGUUGAGUCAGAUAAAUUUGAAACUUAAAAAAGAACCUCAGCGAUGGCCCUGAGGACUGUGCCAGCACUAACCCUUGUAUCUGCAUUAAAAUAGAGUGUGGAGGAACAAGAAGUGUGGACUAGAAUCUAAAAAUAACGAAUUAAGAGAAUCAGUCAUCUAUUUUCAUUCAGCUUUAAUAAUUUUACUGAAGUCAGAAAAUUUUGUUAGAUCAAAUGUGUGGUAUUUACAGCACUUUUAAAUUCUCUUGUUGAAGUCUUGGUAACAUGUGUAACUAUAGGAGGAGUCAUAAGGAAAAUGAGUACCAACUUGAAUUCCUGGAUCUGUAGACUUGUAAAAUAGAACGUUUUUGUAUUUCUAAAAAAAAAAAACAAAACUGUGAUGUGUAUUUAAAAUUAUAAGCAAGAUAAACAGUGGGGGGAAAUGAUAGGUGAGAAAAAUUAACCAGGAGAAUGUGGGUAAGUUCUAAGUGAAUUCAAGUGCAAAAGCCUAGUAAAAAAGCAAAAUAAAAAAAUAUGAAGAACAAAAGAAAAAGAAGCCAAAGAAAGUGCUUUGGUACCUUAAAAAUCCAAAGAAAGUGCUUUGGUACCUAGGAAGUGUUCACUUAUUAUUUCACUUUAAACUAGAAAGAUAGCCUUCAAGUCACGUAACAGAAUUCCCAAAGUUCUUACACUGGCCAAAUCAGCCCUGUAAUGUGAUAAAGAAUGCGCAGUAGACAGUAACUUCAUAGAUGGAAUUUAUUAAUCAUGAACAAAAUCUGUCGUGUUAAUUAGUAUCAUCUAGUUAACACACUUAUUACAUGAAAUAAAAAUCAGAAAAAUCCUAUAGUCAUGUGGAACUUGUGAUAGGAGAAGCAAUGUGGUAAAGGGAAAAAUAGAAUGGGCUUUGGUGGUAGGCAGCCCUGGAUUCAAAUAUAGCUCACUUCAACCUUCAAUUUCUUUCUUUCUAAUGCAAUAGUUAGGUAUUUUUGUUAAAAACAAAAAAAUAAAAAAAUGUGUAUGUGAAACAGUGAUAAUUUUAACUUAUUCCUUGAUUUAUAGAUAAUGGCCGUAUUUCCUACCCAGAAACUGUAACUAGUGUUAUUUAUUUUAAUAAUUUUAUUGUAAAAUAUAUAUAACAAAAAUUUUGCCUAUUUAAUGAUGUUUAAUGUCCAGUGGCAUUAAUUACAUUUACUGUGUUAUGUAACCACUGUCCAUUUCCAAAAGUUUUUCAUCAUCCCAAACAGAAACUCAGUACUCCUAAAGCAAUAAUUCCCCAUUCUCCCCACCCCCCAGCCAUGGUACCUGUUGCCACUUAAGUUGAUUCAGAUUCAUAGCAACCCUACAGGACAGAGUAGAACUGCCCCAUAGGGUUUCCAAGGCUAUAAUCUUUACAGAAGCAGACUGCCACACCUUUCUUCUGCAGAGCAGCUGGUAGGUUUGAAGCACCAACCUUUCGUUUAGCAGCCAGGUACUUUACCACUUCUCCACCAGGGCUCUUUCCAGCCUCUAGUAAUCACUAAUAAACUUUUGCCUCUAUGGUUUGCCUAUUCUAGAUAUCUCAUAUAAGUAGGAUCAUGAAAUGUUUGUCCUUUUGUGUCGAAUUUAUUUAAUUUAGCAUGUUUUCAAGGUUCAUCUUGUAGCAUGUAUCAGAACUUCAUUUCUCUUUAUGGCUAACUAAUAUUCCAUUGUGUGGAUAUACCACAUUUUGUUUAUCUAUUCCUCUGUUAUGGAGAGCAAAGAGGAGUUGAAGCACUCACUGAGGAAAAUCAAAGACUACAGCUUUCAGCAUGGAUUAUACCUCAACAUAAAGAAAAUAAAAAUCCUCAUAACUGGGCCAGUAAGCAACAUCAUUAUAAAUGGAGAAAAGAUUGAAGUUGCCAAGGAUUUUGUUUUACUUGGAUCCACAGUCAACGCCCAUGGAAGCAGCAGUCGAGAAAUCAAACUACAUAUUGCAUUGGGCAAAUCUGCUGCAAAAGACCUCUUUAAAGUGUUCAGAAACAAAGAUGUCAGUUUGAGGACUAAGGUGCACCUGACCCAAGCCAUAGUAUUUUCAUUCGCCUUAUAUACAUGCAAAAGCUGGUCAGUGACUACGGAAGACUGAAGAAGAAUUGAUGCCUUUGAAUUACGGCGCUGACGAAGAAUAUUGAAUAUACUAUGGACUUCAGACAGAACGAGCAAAAGUGAAGAUGGCGAGACUUUGUCUCAUGUACUUUGGAUGUGUUAUCAGGAGGGACCAGCCCCUGGAGAAGAACAUGAUGCUUGUUAAAGUAGAGGAUCAGUGAAAGAGAGGAAGACAUCAACAAGAUGGAUUGUCACAGUGGCUGCAACAAUGGGCUCAAGCAUAACAAUGAUUGUGAGGAUGGCGCAGGACUGGGCAGUGUUUUGUUCUGUUGUACAUAGAGUCACUGUGAGUUGGAAACAAGUCAACAGCACCUGAAAACAAAAACAUCAACAACAACAUUCAUCUGUUGCUGUGUUUCCACCCUUUGCCUAUUCUGAAUAAUGCCGCAGUGAACGUUGGUGUACAAGUGUCUGUUUGAUUCCCUGCUUUCAAGUCUUGAGUAUAUACCUACGAGUGGAAUUGCUGGGUCGUAUGGUCAUUCAUUCUAUGUUUAACUUUUUGAGAAACUGCUUUACUGUUUUCUACAGUGACUGCACCAUUUUACAGUCCCAUGAACAGUGCAUGAGGGCUCCAAUUUCUCCACAUCCUCACCAAAACUUGUUAUUUUCCAUUUUUUUGAUCAUAGCCAUCCUAGUGAGUGUGAAGUGGUACCUGUUGUGGCUUUGGUUUGCAUUUCCCUAAUGGCUAAUAACAUUGAGUAUCUUUUUAUGUACUUAUUGGUCAUUUGUGUAUCUUUUUUUGAGAAAUGUCUAUUCAAGUCCUUUGCUCAUUUUUUAAAUUGAGUUGUUUGCCUUUUUGUUGAGUUGUUAGGAAUUCUUUAUAUAUACUUGAUAUUAAACUCAUCAGAUAUAAGUAUUUUCUCCCACUCAGUAGGUUGUCUCUUCACUUGGUUGGUAAAGUCCUUGUCGCAGCAAAGUAAUUUUGAAGUCCUAUUUAUUUUUUCUUUCGUUGCUCAUGCUUUUGGUGUUGUCACUUCACCUGUAAUUCUCCAUACUUUUUAUAUAAUCCUUACAAGGCCCCUUCAAUAAAACUUUGUAGUAAGGUCAAGAACAUUUGUAGAGUCUUUACCAGAUAUUUAAAAUGUGCACACUUUGAGAUUAUGGACUGCAAAAGGCUGAAUACUUUGGGUUAAAGGAAUUCAGUUUUGCCAAAUGUUAUUUAGUUCUUUUGGCCUCAGUGAUGCCUAAAUUUGAAUUGUAUGGUACUGCCUAUCAGACAAAGGAAACUGAACUCUCAUAUUUAAAAAGAAAAAGAAAAUUUUGUUCUGAUAGUCUGACGAAUUCAUUUUUAAAAACAGAUCCUCCCAUCUUCAUAGUGGAAUGACUGGAAACAUAGCUAUCUUAUCACCUGAGAAACCAAAGGCAUUUUUACCCUCUGAAAAGCCAGAUAAUAUUUUUUAAAAAUCACUGAAAUUUUCCUGAAAGUCGUCAACUUUUCAGAGGGAAAGUAGUAUCUGAGGACUUUGCUCCUAUUUUGCUCCAAGUUUGAAAUAUUUUCUCUUGGCUAUGAAGUAGUCUAUAUUAAAGUAUAAAUAAUAAAUGUAAUCAUACUUUAAGGACAGUACAAAAUAUUCUUAGUAUGUAAAGCUUCUUUUAGAGGUAAUUAGACAGCAGAGUUAGUUUUAAAUAGUUUCGAAACCCAUAAAAUUCUUCAAGCUUGUGUUAAAACUCUGAUAGAUUCAUUUGGACCUGAUUGUUUAUUAUGCAUAAAGAUAAUAGCUUUUAGUGUGUGUGUUUCUUUUUAUCAAUAUAAGAGAUUUCAAGAAUUUAUACCAUUACAUAUUUUGGUUUUCAUCUUGAAGAUAUAUCUGACUUAGGAGAAAUUAGGGCAGUGAAAGCAGAAGUCAGAAGAAAUUGGUGUGGUACCCUUCCUCUUCUGGAAACAGAUUCACAUUUUUUAGCCUGAUGUUUUCAGCCUAACUUCUUCAGUCUUACUGCUCAUUAGCUCUCUAUAUAACAUUCUGAUAUCCCACACCUACAAAUAGUGAUACAGGUUUUUGGAGCAUACUGGGUUACAGCUUUUGAGUUUACAGGGUUUAUAUGUAAAUGUUGUUGCGUUCCAGAGUCGAUUCCAACUCAUAAUGACCCUACAGAACAGAGUAAAACUGCUUCAUAGGAUUUCCUAGGCUAUAGUCUUUACUGGAGCAAAUCUCCAGGUCUUUUCUCCUGUGGAGCAGCUAGGGGAACCAGUGAUCUUUGAUAUGCAGCCGAGUGCUUAACCAUUGCACAACCAGGGCUCCUUGUGUAAGUGUUAGUUAUUGGUAAAGAUUUUAUAUUCAAUGAUUUGGGGAUUUUCUGCGCCAAAGUAUUGCCCAAUACCCCUCUCUGCACCAACUCUCCUUUAAGCGUUGUUUUCUGGAUUCAUUGUUUUUAUUAGAUUGAACCAUAAGAAAUUAGCCAUAUUUGAUCUUUUUGACUCUUAAAAAUGGUUUCAUACUGUUCAACCUAAUUGUUCCUCUUGUUUAUCUUUUGUGUAGAAGAUACCUGCCUUUCUGACAAUUUCAUUGUUUUACUUUGUAUCAUCUUGAAACCUACAGUUAAAAAGGGAGAAGAUAUAAUGAAUUAGUUACUUUAGGGUAGGGCUCUCACCUUGUAAGUCUUCCUAAAAAAAAAAAUUUUUUCCAGCUUCUCAUUUGACUUCUUUGUCUCCAGGGCCAAAUGAAGAGAACCACUGUAGAUUAUUUGCUGCUUUUACCCAUUCAUACAGAGCAUUUACGUAUGGGUUGUUAAUUAAUAAACAAGAUUACUACUUGGUGUGAAAAGUUACUUGGGAAUUUUGUUUCACAAGAAAUAAUGUGUCUGAAAAACUUAACUCUUACAAUAGGGGAAAUGUGGAGCCAAACAUAAAUCUCACAGAGGAAUUCAUCAAAUAUUCUUGCUCUUUUAAAACUAUAAGUCUAACAACCUUCUCCCUAAAUACGUAAAUAUUCCCAGUUAUUUCAUGCAACAUUUAGUCUAUGAAAUCCUUAUCUCAUUUGCUGCUCUUGGUAACCCUGUGAGGUAGAUAGGACACACUCACUAUACUCCAGUCCUGUUCCUCAAGAGAGUGACUCAAAAUACAACCUAAUCCUUUAGAUUGAGUCCUGCCUCAUUAACAUUGUAGAGGUUAGGAUUUGCAACAUAUGGAAUAAUCACAUCAGAUCAGUAAAGGGUGGAGAACCUGGCAGUCGUGGCCUAGCUAAGUUGACAUCUAUUAUUGGCAGAUAUUAAAAAAAACUCAAACCAAAACCACUGCGAUCGAGUCGAUUCUGACUCAUAGUGAGCCUAUAGAUAUAGUUCAAUAUAUAACAGCUCUGUUCUUCUUUCCCUAAGCCCCCAGUGGUUUUUUUCUCUUUGUUUCAAUGUUCAGUAUUCAUUAUGUUUUCUUUUAUAUCCUUGAGUCAGCUUUUAAUAGUGGUUUUAAGGUUCUCAUCUACUAAUUCCAUCACCUCUGUCAUUUUUAAGUCUUUUUCUAGUGAUCAAUUUUUCUUCUGGUUAUUGGUCAUAUUUUCCUGCUUCUUUGCAUGUGUAGUAAUUUAUUACUGAAUGUCGGCCAUUGUGAAUUUUAGAUCUUUGAGUGCUGGAUUUUGUUAAAUUCCUUUAAAGAAUGUUGGACUUUGUUCUGGCACAUAAGUGCAAAUCCGUUUGAUCCUUUUGAGGCUUGCUUUUAAGCCUUGUUAGAGUAGAUAGGGUCCGUAGAAUUCUUCAGUAUUGCAAAUUCAGGCUUGAAAUUUUUCUCCGGUUCUUUCAGCCUGAGAAAUGCCAAACAUGUUCUUCCCUUUUGGCUUUCUAAGUCCAGGUCUUUGCACACUUCAUUAUAAUACUUCUUUCUUGAGCCUCCAUUUCAAAUCUUCUGUCCAGCCCUUUUACUUCAUCAUUUCUUCCAUUCGCUUUAGCUCUUCUACGUUCAAUAGUGAGUUUCAGACCCUGUUCGGACAUCCAUUUUGGUCUUUGCUUUCUUCACAUACAAUGUCCUUGAUGUCAUCCCACAACUCGUCUGGUCUUCGGUGAUUAGUGUUCAGUGUGUCAAAUCUAUCCUUCAGAUGGUCUUUAAAUUUAGGUGGAAUACACUGAAGGUUGUACUUUGGCUCUCGUGGACUUGUUUUAAUUUUCUUCAGAUUCAGUGCGAACUUACAUAUGAGCAGUUGAUGGUCUGUUCUGCUUUCAGGACUUGGCCUUGUUCUGACGAUAAAAAAAUUCAGGCCUUGAGUUGCAAUAUUGAAGGGUUUUAUGGGCAAAAUAUUAAAUGACGCAGGGAUCAUCAAAAUUAGAUGGAAAGAAUACAUAGAGUUACUUUACCAAAAAGAAUUGGUCAAUGUUCAGCCAUUUCAGGAGGUAGCUUAUGAUCAAGAACCAAUGGUAUUGAAGGAAGAAGUCCAAAUGCAGUAAAGGCAUUGACAAAAAACAAGGCUCCAGGAAUUGACGGAAUACCAGUUGAGAUGUUUCAACAAACAGAUGCAAUGCUGGAAGUGUUCACUCAUGUAUGCCAAGAAAUUUGGAAAACAGCUGCCUGACCAACUGACUGGAAGAGAUCCAUCCAUAUGUAUAUCCAUUCCAAAGAAAGGUGAUCCAAUGGAAAUUGUCAAACAGUACCAUCAAUAUCACAUGCAAGUAAAAUUUUGCUGAAGAUUAUUGAAAAAUGGUUGAAGCAACUACCUUGACAGGGAACUGCCAGAAAUUCAAGCUGUGGUAAAAAAGAGAAUGUGGAACAAGGGAUAUAAUUGCUAAUGUCAGAUGGGUGCUGGCUGAAAGCAGAGAACACCAGGAAGAUGUUUACCUGUGUUUUAUUGACCGUGCAAAGGCAUUCAACUAAACCGUGUGGAUCAUAACAAAUUAUGGAUAAUGCUGCCGAGAAUGGGAAUUCCAAAACACUUAAUUUUGCUCAUGUGGAGCCUGUACAUAGACCAACAGGCAGUCAUUCAAACAGAACAAGGGAACAGUGUAUGAUUUAAAAUCAGGAAAGGUGUGUGUCAGGGUUGUAUCCUUUUACCAUACUUAUUCAGUCUGCAUGCUGAGCAAAUAAAUAAUCUGAGAAGCUGGACUAUAUGAAGAAGAACACGGCAUCAAGAUGGGAGGAAGACUCAUUAACAACCUGUGAUAUACAAAUGACACAACCGUGCAAAUGACACAACCGUGCGUGCUGAAAGCAAAGAGGACUUGAAGCACUUACUGAUGAAGAUCAAAGACUACAGCCUUCAGUAUGGAUUGCAUCUCAACAUAAAAACUGGACACAACUGGAUCAACAAGCAACAUCAUGAUAAACAGAGAAAAGAUUGAAGUUGUCAAGGAUUUCAUUUUACUUGGAUCCAUAAUCAGCACCCACCCAUGGAAGCCAAAAACCCAAACCCACUGCCAUCGAGUUGAUUCCAACUCAUAGCAGCCCUAUACACCAGUCAAGAAAUCAAACUACCCUGGAGGUCAUGGUCUCCAGACCUUCUGUUAGCCCAAGACAGGAACCAUUCCCAAAGCCAACUCUUCAGACAGGGAUUGGACUGGAGUAUAGGAUAGAAAAUGACUAUAGGAUAGAAAAUGAGGAGUGAGCUUCUUUGGUCAAGGAGACACAUGAGACUGUGUGGGCAGCUCCUGUCUGGAGGGGAGAUAAGAGGGCAGAGGGGGUCAGAAGCUUGCCGAAUGGGCAUGAAAAUAGAGAGUGGAAAGGAGUGUGCUGUCUCAUUAGAGGGAGAGCAACUAGGAGCAUAUAGCAAGGUGUAUAUAAAUUUUGUAUGAGAGACUGACUUAAUUUGUAAACUUCCACUUAAAGCACAAUAAAAAUUAAAAGAAAAAAAAAUCAAACUACAUACUGCAUUGGACAGAUCUGCUGCAAAAGACCUCUUUCAAGUAUUACAAAGCAAAGAUGUCACUUUGAGGACUAAGGUGUGCCUGACCCAAGCCAUGAUAUUUUCAUUCGCCUCAUGUGUAUGCAAAAACUGGACAAUGAAUAAAGAAGACUGAAGAAGAGUUGAUGCCUUUGAAUUAUGGUGUUGGCGAAGAAUAUUGAAUAUACCAUGGACUGCCAGAAGAAUAAACAAAUCUGUCUUGGAAGAAGUACAGCCAGAGUGCUCCUUGAAAGUGAGGAUGGUGAGACUUCAUCUCACAUACUUUGAACAUGUUAUCAGGAGGGACCAGUUCCUGGAGAAGAACAUGCUUGGUAAAGUAGAGGGUCAGCAAAAAAGAAGACGACCCUCAAAGAGAUGGAUUGAGACUGGCUGCAACAAUGGAAUUGUGCAGGACUGGGCAACAUUUCAUUCUUUUGUACGUAGGGUUGCUGUGAAUCAGAAGCAACUGGAUGGCAUCUAACAACAACAGGAUAGUACCCAGAGCAGCCUUUAGGCUACACCUAAUUUAAUUCCAUAGCUAAGGUGUGACUCUUCCGGGACUUUACCCAAUGCCUUGUGUUAUAUGAGAUCUCUCCAUUUUGGCUAGUUAAAAAAAAAAACAACCCAUUGCCUUUGAGUCAGUUCCGACUCAUAGCGACCCUAUAGUAGGAACAUAGUAUUCCCUGCCUUAUGCGAGCUUCUGAAAUUAUCUGGCCUGUUUGCUUUUUUUGGAUCCCUGGUGGCGUAGUGGUCAAGAGUUCAGCUGCCAACCAAAAGGCUAGCAGUUCAAAUCCACCAGCUACUCCAUGGAAACCCUAUGGGGCAGUUCUACUCUGUCCUGUAGGAACCUAUAUGAGUUGAAACUGACUCAACAGCUCCUAACAACACAAUAACAUUGUUUUUCAGUGGUUCUUCCCCUGUACUGAUGUAGUUUUCCCCCACACAUAAGCAGGUCAGUGCUCUCUACUCAAGGGUCCCAUCUGCAGACCUCCUGAGCGCUUUUCUCUGUGCAUUUCUCCUUUUUAGCACUCAUCCUGCAAAUUCUUGCUGCCUUGGCUCCCCCAAACUUCUAUUUUUCUCCUCUGUUCAGGAAGACAACCAGAUCAUAUUUGGGUCCUUCUCCUUGUGCUGCAUCCUGGAAACUGCCUCAUCUUGCGCACCUCAUUUGUUUCUCUUAGUGAUCAUUGUUCUAUGUUGUCUGUUCUCCAAUGACUGGAAAUUAUUUCAUGUACUUUGGUCAUUUACAGUGGGAGUAGGGGAGGGCAGUACCCACAGCAGUUAAUCCCUCACGUCUGAACAUGGAAAUCAUCGCUCCUUGAAUUUUAAAUUUUGACACCCUAAAUGGCACUGUUUUUUUUUUUUUAAUGGAAGUUAAUGGGGGAGAGAAUUUAUUAAAAGGAGAUUAAGAAUUAUUUAUUAAAAUUGCAAUAUAUAUUUGUAUCCUUUGGUCCAACAGUUGUACUUCUGAAAAUUUAUUUAAUUUACACAUAAGAAGUAUAACAAAUGUAGAGGGUGUUUUUUUAAAGCAUUUGUUGUAAUAACAAAUGGUUGGAAACAACCCAACAUUCUCCAGUAACGGAUUGAAUAAAUAAGUUACAGUGCUUCUAUAUCAUGAACUAUUGUAUUGCUGUGAAAAAGAAUGAAGCAGCUCUUUAUGUCUGGUAUGGAAAGAUCUGCAAGAUCUGUUAUUAAAUGAAGAAAGCAGAAUUAUAACUCCAUCUGUCUGCUACCUUUUUUGUAAUCAAGGAGGAAAAUUAAGAAUAUUUGUACUUGCAUUAAAAUACUCUGGAAGGAUACAAAAAAAAAAAUGAAGUGCUUACCUUUGUGGGGAGGAGAACUUAGGCUAAUGGAGGAUAAAGAUGGGUUGAAAACUUUCCACAGAAUUAUUUUUUAAUAUAAAAAAAAAUUUCAGCCAUAUGCAUGAACUAUUUAACAUUUUUUAAAAAUUAAGGUAAAAAUCUUUUUUCCAGUGCCCCAUAUUGACUGACAAAACUGCUUUACCAUGAGAAGUCCAAAGGUAUGAUUUCAUUGUGUCAGGAGGGUCAACUUUUGUUGUAACUAGGUUCAGCCACGCCUUUUACUGAUUUAUAACAAAAGAUUUCCUUUUAGUUAAUGUUUUACUUACGGCAAAGUUAACUGCUGUAACAAACCCAGAAGUAUCAGUGGUUUAACAAAGAGAAGUAUUUUCAAUAUUGGCAUUCUUGGUCAGCGGUGGACUACCUAGAGAUUCAGGAACUCUGGUUCCUACCAUGUUGUGGUUGCAUUUUCUAGGACUUUGGAGUCUUCUGCUUUUAGGCAGGAGAGUAAAGAAGUCCUGCCUGCUGCUUUUUCUUUUUUUGCCCCUUAUUUCUUUUCUUUUUUAAACAUUGAGAUGUGAUUCAUAUACUCUGAAAUUUACCUUUUUAACCUAAACAGUUAAGUGCUGGGCUACUAAUCGUAAGGUUGGUGGUUGAAUCCACCCGUAGGCCUCAGAAGAAAGGCCUGGUGAUCUGCUUCCAAAAGAUCACAGCCAUCAAAAAACCUUAUAGAGCUCAGUUCUACUCUGCAACACAUGGGGUCGCCAGGAGUUGGAAUCCACUCGACAGCAACUGCUUUUGUUGUUGUUUUGUUUUUUAAAAAGCGCCAUCCCCCAGGCAGUAACCUCUGCUUUUGUUCUCAUAUCUCCUGACUAGGCAGCAGCCUCCCAAUUGACAGCUCCACACUAUACUGUGAAAAACUCAUUGCCUCAAGUUGAUUUCUACUUACAGUAACCCUAUAGGACAGAGUAGAAGUGCCCCGUAGGGUUUCCAAGGAGCGCUAGUGGAUUCGAACUGCUAACGUUUUGGUUAGCAGCCGAACGCUUAACCACUGGCGCCACCAGGGCUCCACAUUAUGAGAAAGGGGGCACAAAAUUUUAGUGGAUAGCAGGCUCUAUCAAAGUUAUGUUGAGCAAAUGAGGUCAAGUUUAUUUUUGUGCCAGCCCUUUUUUUUUUUGUUGUUAUAUCGAGAUGUUUAUGUUCCUUCCAGUUUUCUCUAGGAAGAUGAACGUUGUUAAGUAAUUAAGUUUUUCUUUUUUCUGCACUAAGUGUGCAUAAAGGGCGAUACUUCAGUUUUUAGACUUCAGGUUUUAGACUUCAGUUUUUAGUGUUAUAAUCUCUUUGAUUUAAAGUAUGGAAGCAAUUUCAGCCUUGUGUGGUGAUUUUAUACUUGCUGCAGGGUCAAGACCUUGUGUCCUAUCCCUGGUCAUUAAGCCCUAAGCCUUAGGUUAGUGAGUCAGACUCUCUUCUUCCUUCCUCCCCUUCUUGAUGCCUUAGUGGGUUUUUUUUUUUUUAAAUAAUUUUUAUUGUGCUUUAAGUGAACGUUUACAAAUCAAGUCAGUCUGUCAUACAUAAGCUUAUAUACACCUUACUCCAUACUCCCACCUACUCUCCCCCUAAUGAGUCAGGCCGCUCCCUCCUUCCAGUCUCUCCUUUUGUGACGAUUUCGCCAGUUUCUAACCCUCUCUACCCUCCCAUCUCCCCUCCAGACAGGAGAUGCUAACACAGUCUCAAGUGUCCACCUGAUACAAGUAGCUCACUCUUCGUCAGCAUCUCUUUCCAACCCAUUGUCCAGUCCCUUCUAUGUCUGAUGAGUAGUCUUCAGGAAUGGUUCCUGUCCUGGGCCAACAGAAGGUUUGGGGACCAUGACCGCCGGGAUUCCUCUAGUCUCAGUCAGACCAUUAAGUCUGGUCUUUUUAUGAGAAUUUCGGGUCUGCAUCCCACUGUUCUGCUGCCUUAGGUGUUCUCUGUUGUGCUCCCUGUCAGGGCAGUCAUCGGUUGCGGCUGGACACCAUCUAGUUCUUCUGGUCUCAGGAUGAUGUAAGUCUCUGGUUCAUGUGGCCCUUUCUGUCUCUUGGGCUCUUAGUUAUCCUGUGACCUUGGUGUUCUUCAUUCUCCUUUGAUCCAGGUGGGUUGAGAUCAAUUGAUGCAUCUAAGAUGGCUGCUUGUUAGCAUUUAAGACCCCAGACACCACAUUUCAAAGUGGGAUGCAGAAUGUUUUCACAGUAGUAGUAUUUUGCCAAUUGACCUAGAAGUCCCCUUAAGCCAUAGUCCCCAAACCCCCGCCUUUGCUCCGCUGACCUUUGAAGCAUUCAGUUUAUCCUGGAAACUUCUUUGCUUUUGGUCCAGUCCAGUUGAGCUGACCUUCCCUGUAUUGAGUGUUGUCCUUCCCUUUACCUAAAGUAGUUCUUAUCUACUAUCUAAUCAGUAAAUAACCCUCUCCCACCCUCCCCGCCUCCCCCAUCUUGUAACCACAAAAGAAUGUGUUCUUCUCAGUUUAUACUAUUUCUCAAGAUCUUAUAAUAGUGGUCUUAUCCAAUAUUUGUCCUUUUGCAUCUGACUAAUUUCACUCAGCAUAAUGCCUUCCAGGUUCCUCCAUGUUAUGAAAUGUUUCACAGAUUCAUCACUGUUCUUUAGUGAUGCAUAGUAUUCCAUUGUGUGAAUAUACCAUAAUUUAUUUAUCCAAUCAUCCGUUGAUGGACACCUUGGUUACUUCCAGCUUUUUGUUGUUGUAAACAGUGCUGCAAUAAACAUGGGUGUGCAUAUAUCUGUUAGUGUAAGGGCUCUUAUUUCUCUAGGAUAUAUUCCAAGGAGUGGGAUUUCUGGGUUGUAUGGUAGUUCUAUUUCUAACUUUUUAAGGAAACACCAGAUAGAUUUCCAAAGUGGUUGUACCAUUUUACAUUCCCACCAGCAGCGUAUAAGAGUUCCAAUGUCUCUGCAGCCUCUCCAACAUUUAUUAUUUUGUGUUUUUUGGAUUAAUGCCAGCCUUGUUGGAGUGAGGUGGAAUCUCAUCUGUAGUUUUAAUUUGCAUUUCUCUAAUUUAAUGGCUAAUGAUCAAAAGCAUUUUCUCAUGUAUCUGUUAGCUGCCUGAAUAUCUUCUUUAGUGAAGUGUGUGUUCAUAUCUUUUGCCCACUUUUUGAUUGGGUUGUUUGUCUUUUUGUGGUUGAGUUUUAACAGAAUCAUAUAGGUUUUAGAGAUCAGGCGCUGGUCGGAGAUGUCAUAGCUGAAAAUUCUUUCCCAAUCUGUAGGUGGUCUUUUUACUCUUUUGGUGAAGUCUUUAGAUGAGCAUAGGUGUUUGAUUUUUAGGAGCUCCCAGUUAUCUGGUUUCUCUUUGUCAUUUUUGGUAAUGUUUUAUAUUCUGUUUAUGCCUUGUAUUAGGGCUCCUAACGUUGUCCCUAUUUUUUCUUCCGUGAUCUUUAUCGUUUUAGUCUUUAUGUUUAGGUCUUUGAUCCACUUGGAGUUAGUUUUUGUGCAUGGUGUGAGGUCUGGGUCCUGUUUCAUUUUUUUGCAAAUGGAUAUCCAGUUAUGCCAGCACCGUUUGUUAAAAAGACUAUCUUUUCCCCAAUUAACUGACAUUGGGCCUUUGUCAAAUAUCAGCUGCUCGUAUGUGGAUGGAUUUAUAUCUGGGUUCUCAAUUCGAUGCCCUAGUUUUUAAUCCAUCCUUCCUUUUUUUCCUGACACCUAGGGCAUUCUUUCUUUUUCUCUCCUGAGCUCAUCUAUACAUUUAAAAGGAACUCUUAAGUUAUUAUAGUUGAAAGCUUUUCAGGUUAUAUUCGCUGCAGGAUAAAAAGUUAAACAUACAUAUUGCAGGAACCUGGAGUUCUUGGCUUUUGAGGCAGCCAUUCUUCAGUCAACUAACCAUUGUUCAAAAGGGACAAGGAGAUAGGUUAACAUUUAUUGGACAGUUACUGUGUGCUUGUGUACAUUAUCUUAUUUAAUCACCACUGUCACUCUAAGGGAGUCCUGGUGGCACAGUGGUUAAGAGCUCAGCUGCUAGCCAGAAGGUUGGCAGUUUGAAUCUACCAGCUGCACCUUGGAAACCCUAUGGAGCUUUUCUGCUCUGUCCUGUAGGGUUGCUAUGAGUCGGCAUCAACUUGAUGGCAGUGGGUUUGUUUGUUUUGGUCACUCUAGAGGAGCCCUGGUGGCACAGUGGUUAAGCACUCAGCUGCUAACUGAAAGGUUGGCGGUUCAAACCCACUGGGUACUCCGUGGGAGAAAGAUGUGGCAGCCUGCUUCCGUAAAGAUUUACACCCUUGGAAACUAUGGGGCAGUUCUACCCUGUCCUGUAGGGUUGCUUUGAGUUGGAAUUGACUUGACGGCAACUUUUUUUUUUUUUUUUUUUUCAGUGAAUGUGUGUCUACAUUAGAUUUGGGUUUGUUUUUGAGGAAAUGUGGAAGUCAUUGAAGAUUUUUGAGUAGGAGAAUGGCAUAAUUAAAUAGCUAAGGAAAUUGUUCUGGUGGCAAUAUGGGUUGAAGUAAGGAAAGUCUGAAGGAGCUUAUUGGGUAAGCUGCUGUUGUAAUUAAACCUUGAAGAAAAACCUGGAUGAUACUGUACCAGUAGCAGUGGAGAUGGAAAUGGAAUUCAUGGGAAACUCAUUACCGCAUUACUCUAAUUACCCAGAAAAAAUUUAGAAUUCUUUUGUUCAUUUGACAAAUUUUGGACAAAUAUUAUUUACUAGAUGCAGAAACUAAUCAUAGGUGCUGGGAAUUGGUGAUUAUCAGACUCCCUUACUUUCAUCUAGACAUGAUCCUUAUUCUUGUAGCUUACCAACUAGUGGAAGAGGUAGCCAUUAAAGAAUCACAAAAUAAACGGAAAAUUAUAGUUAAGUGCAUUGAAGGAGAGAUACGUAGAAUUUGGCUAAUCCAGAGAGUCAGGAAAUGUUUUUAUGAGAAAAUGGUGAUUGAGCUUAAGGAAUAGUAGAAUUUAACCAAAUCAAGAAAAGUCAAAGUUUAACUGUUAGGCUACCUCUAAAAAUAUGUAAUUCUUAGCUUGUGUUGAGUUUGAAAUGACAGCCAGGCAUUUCAAGCAAUUUCCAGUAAGAGGAUAUAAAUUUAGAACUGAAUCUAAAUUUUAGAGUCAUUCAGCUUAAAAGGAUAUAGUUGAAGCUAUGAAAACGGUUGAGCCCUCUUAAAGAAUGUAUAAAUAGAAAGUAGGAUUCCAAGAACUGAGCCCUGGGGAACACUCACAAUUAAGGGUUGGAAAGAGGCAUGUUGAGGGAAUUGCAGGAAACUGAAGGAGUUGUUGAGAGUUAAAAGAAGUUUUAGAGGAGUUGAGUUGUGAAAGAAGUGAGAGUAAUCGCUAGGAUAAAUAGAAUAACAUGGGCAUGGUCAAUAACUGACAAGAGAGCAUGGUUUUUGGUAAAACAGAGGUAGAACAGUUUCUGUAGAACCCAGAUUUCAGCCUAUUUUAGACUAUUUGAGAAGUUUGAUAGUGGAAAGAAGGUGAGAAACAGGAUGAUAUCUAGAAGUGAGGACAUCCCCCUUGUGUUGUAAAGAUUUUUCAAGAUUAAGGAAACCUAUGCUAAUUUAAAGACAAAGAGAAAAACUAAUAGAAGGUAAAAGAUUGGAGAGAUUGGAAAGUAAGAGGGUAGAUGUUCAUAAGGAAAGAAAGGGAGGUAUCAGAAAACAUGAUUUGUAAUUUUUUUAAGAACUUAAAGGCUAAAGCCCUUUUGAGUUUCAUAAACUUUAUCAGUUCCCAAGAGAAUUGCUACCUCAGAUUUACCCUAUGACCCACAGAGUAAAGAUUGGACUCUAUGUUUUGGUUUUUCUUUCCUUAGAACCUUUUCACUCUGAAGGUAAAUUUAAGCAAAACUAAAUAGAGAUGUUUAGCCCUGUUGACCACAAUAAUUGUGUAGCCACUUUCUAAAUUGUCGCCAUGUUGAUUAACAUUGCAAGGCAGUUUUAGAGUGGAGUUAAACAGUUGGGGCUUUGUGCCCCACAAAUAUAGUGUUUAGUAAGCCUGGAAGGCUUCCAGGAAAGUAGAACAAAAAUGGUUUAAAUGCCAUUCUGAAAUAGAUCCAGAACAGUUAGGAAAAGUACCAUAAGUAGCUUCUGUAAAGAAGAAUUAUAACUUACAUAGGCAGUUUUUAGGAAUGCAAAAUGUGAGGAUCACGAAGUGUGAACAAUCUGGCUCCAACUAGAAGUUUUUCAAUAAAUCACAUAAUGUCUAAACUGUAUCAGUGUGUCGGCAGAUUUUGGGUCUAAGCACUAGGCCUCUUAGACUCUGAAUAUAUAUGCAUGCUUGCCUGCAACACAAUGUUGUAUUCCCAGCUCCUAGUCCAGUGCCUCCCAUGUGUUCAACAAAUAUUUCUUGAAAAAAAGAAGGCAACUGUGUACUUGCUAUGAGUAAUUCCAAACUUAAUGAUUUUAAGUUUCAUGGGCCACUAGUGCAAACAAAGAGUACCUGGCUUAAUAGCUUGUUUUCAUACUCCACAUCCAGCCUACAGUUUGUUUUGUUUUGUUUUAUCACACAAAUAACAUAUAACCAAAAACAACCCCAAAUUUAGGCCAUUUACUUUUUUUUUUAUCUUGAUUUAAGUGAAAGUUUACAAACCAAGUUAGUCUGUCAUACAAAAACUUAUAUACACCUUGCUAUAUACUCGUAGUUGUUCUCCGUCUAGUGACACAACACACUCCUUCCCUCUGCUCUCUGUUUUUGUGUCCAUUCGGCCAGCUUCUGCCCCCUCUCCCCUCUCAUCUCUUCUCCAGACAGGAGCUACCCACAUAGUUUCAUGUGUCUACUUGGUCAAGGAGCUCACUCUUCACCAGUAUCAUUUUCUAUCCCAUAGUCCAGUCCAAUCCCGGUCUGAAGAGUUGGCUUCAAGAAUGGUUCCUGGCUUGGACUAACAGAAGGUCUGGGAACCAUGACCUCUGGGGUCCUCCUAGUCUCAGUUGGACCAUUAAGUCUGGUCUUUUUACAAGAAUAUGGGGUCUCCAUCCCACUGCUCUCCUGCUCCCUCAGGGGUUCUCUGUUGUGUUCCCUGUCAGGGCAGCCAUGGGUUGUAGCCAGGCACCAUCUAGUUCUUCUGGUUUCAGGCUGAUGAAGUCUCUGGUUUAUGUGGCCCAUUCUGUCUCUUGGGCUUAAAAUUACCUUGUGUCUUUGAUGUUCUUCAUUCUCCUUUGCUCCAUGUGGGUUGAGACCAAUUGAUGCAUCUUAGAUGGCCGCUUACUAGCGUUUAAGACCCCAGACGCCACUCUGCAAAGUGGGAUGCAGAAUAUUUUCUUAAUAGAUUUUAUUAUGCCAAUUGAUUUAGAUAUCCCCUGAAACCAUGGUCCCCAAACCCCUGCCCCUGCUACGCUGGCCUUCGAAGCAUUCAGUUUAUUCAGGAAACUUCUUUGCUUUUGGUUUAGUCCAGUUGUGCUACCUCUCCUGUACUGUGUGUUGUCUUUCCCUUCCCUAAAAUAGUUCUUACCUACUAUCUAAUUAGUAAAAACCCCCUCUCCCUCCCUUCCCCCUCUCGUAACCAUCAAAGAAUAUUCUCUUCUCUGUUUAAACUAUUUCUCAAAUUCUUAAAAUAGUGGCGUUAUACAAUAUUUGUUCUUUUGCAGCUAAUUUAACUCAGCUGUCCACUUUUAAGUAUUUUAUUUUGGAAUACUUUCAGACUUCAGAAAAGUUGUAAAAACAUUAUAAAGAAUUCCCAUUUACUCCCCACCCCAAAAUAAAUGAAUGAAUGAAACCAAACCCAUGGCUGAUUUCUAACUCAUAGCUACCCUAUAGGACAGAGUAGAACUGCCCCAUGAGGUUUCCAAGGCUGUAAUCUUUAUGCAGAGUGGCGGAGAGAUUCCAACGGCCGACCAUUCUGUUAGCAGCCAAGUGCUUAGCCCCUGCACCACCACAUACUAUUCACUCAGAUUUCCUAAAUGUUAAUAUUUUAUCUCGUUUACUUUAUCUCUGUGUGUGUCUGUCUUUUCUCCCUGUAUGUCACACUCUCUCUGUGUCUAUCUCUUCCUCUCACUCUCUUGGUGGCAUGAUUUAUUAUAUUUCAUUAGUUUAUUUUCUGAAAAGGUGGAGAAUAAGUUGCAGACAUAAUCCUCUAAAAAAAGGCAAGGAUAUUGUCAAACUAAUUACAAUACAGUUAUUUCAUCUCCUAAAAACAAGGAUAUUCAUUCUCUAACUAACCACAGAACAAAUGUAAAAAUUAAAGUUAGCACUGAUAUAUUAUUGUCCCAAAAAAAAAAAUUUUUUUUUCCCCAUUAGUGUCCACUAUAGCAAAAGAAAAAAAAUUCUGAUGAGGAUAUGAUCCAGGACCAUAUAUUGCAUUUAGUUAUCUCUUUAGUUCCUACUCUAGAAAAAUUCCUCAGUCUUUGUCUUUCAUGAUCUUGACAUUUUUGAAGAGUACUGGCCAUUUAUUAUAUAGAAUGUCCUUCAGUUUGGGUUUAUCUGAUUAUUUCAUUUGAUGAGUUUCAGAUUAUUUUUUUUUGACAGGAAUACCACAAAAGUGGUGUUGUUUCCUUUUCAGUGCAUCAUGAUGGCAGUUUUCCAUUGUUGGUGAUAUUUGAUCACAUGAUUUAGGUGGUGGUGUGUGCCAGGUUUCUCCACUGUAAAGUUACUGUUUCCCAUUUGUAAUUAAUAAGUAAUUUGUGGAAAGAUAUUUGGAGACUAUGUAAAUAUCCUGUUUCUCAUCAGACUUCUCCCUGCUGGUUUUUAAGCAUUCAUUGAUGUUUUUUGCCUAAAUCCAUUAUUGCUAUGAUGGUUAUCAAAUGAUUUUCUAAUUUUAAUCCUGUUUUAGUCUAUAUUUUUUGUGGGUUUUUUUUUCAUAUACAAGCUAUUAGAUACAUGUAUAUUUUCUUAUUUCACCUGCUUUCUUACCCACAUGGUAACAUACUGAAUACUUUGUUGCACUUUACUUUUUUCUUUUAAUAUUAUUUCCUGGAAAUCACUUUGUAUCAGUUCCUAGAGUUCUUCCUCAUUCUUUGUUAGAGCUGCCUGGUACUCUGCUGGGUGGAUGUAACAGUUUACUCAACCGCUCUCCUAUGCUUGGACAAUUAAGUUGUUUACACUAUAUUGCAGUUAUAGAGAAUGCUGCAAUGAAUACCAUUGUAAUUUUAGUUUCACAUGGUUGGAAGUAAUAUUCCUAGAAGUGGGAUUGCUUGCAUUUUGUUAGUUUUUAUUAUUGAACCAGCCACAUAUAAAAAGUCAAAAGCAAAUCAAAAACAUUUGAGGUUUUGUGCAAUUUCUUGUUCACAAACAUUUGUUGAUUUUUAAUAGCUAUUAAUAGUUGACUCCCCAAAUAUUUCUAAUAGGUAAUGUAACCUGGCAGGAAAAUGCCACUGAACUGAAUUGCUCUAAAAAGUAAACAUGCUAAAGUGAAACAGGAAGCAUCGCCUUAUCUCAGUAUAGCCCGUUCAAAUCAAUAAACUACUCUCCUCUAAGUCACAAAAUAUGGCAUAAUAUUUCAUAGUUUUAAGCUUAAUGUAGGAAUUCUUCUGUGUAUCUCUGCAAAUAAUGUGAAGUAUAAGUCUGUUAUUCUUUAGAAGGGAGAAAAACUAGAGAUAUAUCAGCAAAUUAAAAAAAUUGACAGCUGAUAGAAUUUUAAAACUUCAUGCAUUUAUUGUUAGUGUAGCUUGUGAUGCUCAGGGACUUUCUAUGAUGUUACUUUUUGCUACCCAACUCUUUAAAAUCUCCCAUUUACCUGACAGGCCCAGAAAAGUCUCACCAGGAUUGGUUCUUAUUUCCAAUAGGAGCAACAUUUUUAGUUCUUUGAGUUAGCAUCUUUAAUAUUUAAUAACCUUAAGGAUUUAGACAUGUGUUUUUUAAAACGGUGUAACAUGAGACUCAGCUGUUUUAGAAAAGUUAUGCUAAUAUCUUUCAAUGAAGAUCACUUGAAUUUUAAAACACACUUAAUGCAUUUGACUUCCCGAAUCCUGGCAUGUUAUUGCUAUUCAACAUUCCUGGUUCCGCCUUGAACCCUAUGGUUCAGGAUCCCAACCCAUUUAUAUGGGUUAUUGAGAGCUAGCUCUUAAUAAAUGCAGAACUUUCAGAACACAUUUACCUAUUUUCUGCUAAAGAUUACUGAAAUGCCUUGUAAGAGAAACAUUGCCUCGGAGAAAAACAUUGUUUCGAAGAUCUUUUCUUAAAUCCCCUUUUAACAGGAUGACUCAAGAUAUUCUAUGCAAAUAUAUCGGGGGAGGCACACGACAGUAUCUAUACACCAGUUAACUUUUUUUGUGUACUGAAGCAUAGCAAGUAGAAUAGGAGUGUAUGUUAAGGAAAUACCCCUGUGGGCACCAUUUAUUCUGGCAAGCACAUGGAUGUAGUCUCUCCCCUUCCUUUUUUAUUCAAGUAGUGCAUGUAUAUAGUUGUAAAAGUCAGAGUGCUACCCAGUUUUUAAUGAAAAGCUUCGCGUCCUAUCUUAUCUCUCCCCACUUUCAACACUUCUAGCUCUUUAUUCUCGUAUUUAUCUCAUUUUGAAAUAGAAUACAUAUGCCAUUGUCUUGAUUUUUUAAUAUUAGACAUUAUCUUUUGAUUUCUUACACUUCACAUUUAGUCUUCAUAAAACACACUUGACGGUAUUUACUCUGAAAUUGAACUUUACAGAGAAGAAAUCCUACAUAGCUAAGGGAUUAAAUGAACUACGCUGCACCACAGACAGUGUUCAGAAAGUCAGUGGGUGUAGAAUACAGCAUCUGUUGGCUGAGUUCUGCAGAAAGCACCUGCUUUAAUGAAAUCAAUUUUCAUCCAUUUGGUCUUGUCUCAGUCUCAUUCUUAUUCAUCAAUCAUGAGUCAUCAAUGUGUCAUAUAAUAAACAUAUUUUUAAAAAGAGAUCAAAUUCACUGCUACCGAGGUCUAACUUGUUUAAAAAUAAAAUAAAAUAAACCCAAAGUUGUGCCUUAUUCAUUCUUUUAGUUUCAGCAGAGAACAAGGAGCAAAUCUAAGUUGUUUGAGUGUGAAGUAAGAAUACUUAGAGUAAAACAUGAGAUUCGCUCUCCCACUUUACUAUUUUGUAUUUUUCAUUGUUAUAUUUGGGAUCCUUGUUACGGAUUACAGUCCUUUAACUACGUUUCUUUUGCAAUUCUGGGCCCCAUUAGUCACAGCCUGUUUUAACUUUGAAGAGUUCUUUGUUUGAAAACAUUUCUAGAAUCUUCCUUUUGGUUGUUUUCUCAGUGACUCAGUUGAUCAGAAUAGGUUUACUUUACUUACUUGCAUAUGUCUGGGUUUUAAAUUUGGAAAUGUUUUCUUCUACCGUCAGUAGAGCUAAGGGUAUAUACCUGGGCAUCUUGACAGAUUUUCUUCUGAAUUGGCAUUAGUUUUUCAGUUUCUUUCGGUAGUCACUGAAAGUAUGUCUAUAUAAAGCUCACCAGAAAAAAAAAAAAAAAACUGUUGCCCGCGAGUUGAUUCCAACUCAUAGCGACCUUACAGGACACAGUAGAACUGCCCCGUAGGGUUGCCAGGGAGCAGCUGGUGGAUUCCAGCAGCCGACCUUUUUGGUUAGCAGCCAGAGCUCUCAACCACUGUCACCAGGGCUCCAUAAAGCUCACUGGUAAGUGUAUUUCACCUUUUAUUAAAGAAGUGCAUAUUAGGACAGCACAAAUAUAAAAGCUGUUGCCUUGAUCUUCGCUUUUUGCUGGUCCAGAGGCUUACUUUUCUGUCUAGGUGGUUAUCGUGGGGUGGAUAGGUUCUUGCUGUUAGCAUGAAUGAAUAGUAUGAUCCUUCGAGAAUUAUUUUUCAUGUACUUAGGUUGAAGCCCAGAUUUAUGGGGCGGAGGGAUGUCCCAUGUAUGAAUUAUAAUAGAAGUCAUUAGAAAAAAAAGGAAUUUGACUAUAAUAAGAUCUGAGUUUCUAUCCUCCUAAAAUCAGAAUUCGUUAGAAUUCACAUACAGAGUAUGCCAUGUCCUUUAAUAAGUAAAAAUAUUUCUUCAGCUGCACAUUGAGGAUCUUAGUAGUAAAGAAAAUCUUGUUAAAAGUUAUAUUUCAAAGAAAGAGAAUAAAAGAGAAUUUCUUCAGUAAGCUUCAUUGUUUUUUGGCCUAGCAGUUUUUGUUAAAACAUCAUAAAAUACCUUUUAAAAAAUCUAGAGGAGAUCUGUUUUCUAAUUUCUUCAGCGACCUUGUUUUAUGAAGCACCUGUUUAUGCCCACUUAAAUCUUAGAACAGACAGAGGUUGGCAAACUACCGCUCACUGACCAAACCCAGCCUACAGCCGGUUUUUGCAUAGCUUGGGAGGUAAUAAUGGUAUUUGAAGGGUUGUUAAAAAAAAAAAAAAGAAAAGAAAAUGAUGCUGCAGAGAUAGUUUGUGGGCCUUCACACCUAAAAUAAUUACUAUUUAUCUCUUCACAGAAAAAAUUUACUGGUGUCUAUCUUAGAUUAUAGUAUAUAAUAUACAUGCACUGUAAGCCAUCUGAAUUGGCAUCAUCUUCACUUAAAUGUUUUAGUGUAUUCUCUUUUUGCAUAUUCUGCAUUUUUAUUUCUAUUCACUGAAAUUAUCAGUCUUUAUAGUUGGUAUGACCUUUUAUUAGUCAGCCAGAUAUGUAUACGUGACACCACAGACUUACAUUAAACUGGUUUAAAUUUCUGAGAGAGAGCCAUUUGGCUUUGCAUCUGGAUGUGUAUGUUUUCUUAAUACUGCUUUACAGAUGCUAAUGAAUUUGAGUAUUGCCAUUUCUCUUUGGAAUCAUUGAUAUCUUUUCUCAUUGAUAUCUUUGCCUACAGCAUGGAGAGAGAGUUACUUUGAGGCUGUAUUUUGGUGUUAAAUUGGUUUGUAUGGUUGGCUUGGUUAAGAUUUUUAAUACUGGUAGGCAACUUCCAGCAAAUAUACCUGAUUGCCUGGUUAUAAUGCAUUGUCAUUUAUCAUAUUUUAUUGACUUUGUUGUUGUUAGGUCCUGUCAGGUUAGUUCCAACUCAUAGCAACCCUACGUACAACAGAAAGAAACGCUGCGCAACUGCGCCAUCCUUGGAAUUGUUGCUGUGUUUGAACCCAUUGUUGCAGCCACUGUGUCAGUCCAUCUCCUUGAGAGUCUUCCUCUUUUUUGCCGACCCUCUACUUUAUCAAGCAUGAUGUCCUUCUCCAGGGACUUCUCCCUCCUAAUACCAUGACCAAAGUACAUGAGAUGAAAGUCUUGCCAUCCUUGCUUCUGAGGAACAUACUUUUUUUCACCUUAACAUCUUUGAAAUCAGGAUGCAUCUUAAAAUUUAUGACAUCUUAUAUUUGGCAGGGAUCCCCUUCACCUAACAGUACAUAAAAAUAAUGGUGCAUCUUAAAAUCAGUAAACUAUGGUUCAUAUAUUCUACUCAUUUAUAUUUCUUGUUAGGUGCAUUGUUUUCUUGUUUCUUGUAUUAAUUCCACCCCUUACUACUUUUAACUUCCAGCCAAAAUUUAUAUUGUGGAAAUCUUUUAUCAUUUAUGGGUUUGCUUUGGGGUUAUUUCACUGUUGAGAUUUGGAUAUUGAGUGAGAUAUCACUCACAUCUAGUCAACAGAGCAACUUAGAAAAACAAACUAUUAACAUAAGGAAAUGUGGCACAGUAUUCUAAUAUGUUACUGUUCGUUAGUUAACAGAUGGCCUAUAGCCUGGUCUUUAUAUUUUGCUGAAUAUAGUACUGCAGAAGAACAUUAACCAGAAAAUCUGUUUAGCUUUAGCCUUAACUGAGAUUUUCUUGGAUGCUUGCAACUGGGAACACCCUGUGAAUUUAAAUAGUAAUCCCCUGUUAACGGGACAAUAUUUGAAAUUAUGUAGUAAUUGAUUUUCAGACCUUUAGUAUCUCCCAAGCUGAGCACUUUGUAUCACAGAGACAUUAAGUUUUUUAGCUUAUUUCAAAGGAGUAUCACUAGUCAGUAACUUCAAAGAAGGCAAGCCAAAUAAAAGGAGAGAUGGGGAUAAUGCUAACUUUAAAUAUAUAAGCAUAAGUUUUUAAUUUAAAUCAGUGGUUCUAAACCCUGGUUAUACCUAGGGUGAUUUUAAAAAUAUCAAUUCCCAGGUUCUAUCUCAGGCAUAGUAAAUCAUAAUGUUUGGAAGUAGGGUGCUGGCAUUCAUUGAAAUCUUUUAAUCCUUCAGGAUACUAUUAUUUUUGUAUUACAAAAAUAAUGAUUAUAUGGAUUUACCCACAUAUUUAACUCUUUGAGCCUCAUACUUUCAUAUAUCUCAGAUCUUCUAUCUGGGAUCACUUUCCUUCUGCCUACAGUACAUUCUUUAGAAUUUCCUUUAGUGAGGAUUCAGGAGGGUACCAAACACAGAGCUUCCAGUUGUUCUCUCCCCCCUGGAGUCAGGGCAGCAUUACACUCCCAACAUCAAUGUGUGACAAUAUAGAGUAUUGCCAACCAGGGAAGUUCUCAUGAGCCUGUGUGUUCAGGGUUUUUAUUGAGCUCCAUCGUGAAGGCAUGAUUAAUUGCCCAUGUGGCUAAUCUCAGUCUCCAACUCCUCCAGAGAUUAACGAAUAUCACAUGACCCCCAUCCUAAAUCACAUUUUUUUGGUCUUUCUGGUAUGGCCAGCCCCUUCCCUAAGUAACUUUGCCAGACUAUUCGGUGUGACCCAAGGUCCCCAGAGAAAGGAAAACAUUCCUGUCAGGCAUGUCAUUCCAGGUGCUUAGAUAUUACCUCCCUGAAGCGGUAGACAAAGGCCAAACCUCUUUGUGGGCAAGGUCAAAUUUUUUACUACAUAGGUAGCCACCAGCACCUAAAAGUGCUUUGUCCAAAUUGAGAUGUGCUAUAAGUGUAACGGAGCCCUGGCAGCACGGUGGUUAAGAGUUCGGCUGGUAACCAAAAGGUUGGCAGUUCAAAUCCACCAGCUGCUUCUUGGAAAAUGUAUGGGGCAGUUCUACUCUGCCUAUAGGGUCGCUGUGAGUCAGAAUCAACUUGAUGGCAAUGGGUUUGUUUUUUGUUUUUAAUAAGUAUAAUAUGCGCUCUAGAUUUAGAAGACUUAGAAAAUAUCUCAAUUUUUUAUAUUGAUUACAUGUUGAAAUAAGAUUUUAUUAAUAAAUAAAUUAAUUUUGUUAAUAUAAUUUCUUAACUUAUUUAUUAAGAAAUUAUAUUAAUAAAAUUAGUUCCACCUAAAACCAAAAAAAUCCAUUGUCAUCGAGUUGAUUCCGACUCAUAGUGACCCUACAGGACAGACUAGAACUACCCCAUAGAGUUUCCAAGGAGCGCCUGGUGGAUUUGAACUGACAGCCUUUUGCUUAAGCAGUCUUAACCACUACACCAGCAGGGUUUCACCUGUGUCUUUUUAAUGCAACUCCUAAGAAAUGUAAAAUUACAUAUGACUCAUUUCUAUUGAACAGCACUGGUCUGUAAUGAUGAUGCUGAAAUUGAUGUAGAAGCAAUAUUUCAGACUUCCUUUUCCGAUGGCAAUAUUUUCAACAAAUUUUCUCAAAUUCAAAAUUUAAUGGAUGAACAAAUUAUUUCUGAGGAUAAAAAUGAAAUAUUGUAUUCUUAUCCAAUUACUUAUCCAGCAGGAAGAUCUUCAUUGUGCACUGUGACAGGAAUCUGUAACAUCUUAUUUUGCUAGGAAGAUGUGUGUUACAGUGUUUUUAUAAUGUUUGUGCACCAAAAUUUACUUGACAAUUGGACAAAUGUAGAAAUGAAAAAGCUCAUUGCAUUUAUUAUUGUGACUGGUUUUUAUUAACAUGAAAAUGUUUUGCAAUUAUGGAGCAAAGAAAAGGCAGUCCUCUUUUCAACAAAAUUAUGAGCCAUCAGAAUUUUCAAAAAUAUUGCAUAUUGAUUAAUGCAAGUACAAGAGGAAGAACCAGAAGUAAGGAUAGGCUAGAAGAAUUUAAAGAUGCACUGGAAAUUUGUAAUCAGUAUUUACAAGAUGGAUAAGUUCCAGGUUUGUGAAUGAUAGGCCAUUGCUAUGGUUCUUAGGUUUGAGGAUUAAUCGUCUCAAAUUAGAUGUGCCUUUUCUUGAACAGCAAAAUGUUUUAGAGCAGUGUCAGAAGAUAUGACAGAAGGGGACUCAAAUUGGUGUGAUUGGUGUGAAUGGAUGCUUAAAUAGCUGGUAUGUGGUAUUUUGUCUCUACUCAUUAAAUCUUGUACUUGAGAAAGGCAAAAGAAGAAAUAAGUUGAUGUAGUUUGCUAUAUGGAAUGACAUUUUAAGCUUCAAAUGUGAUUUGACAACAGUAUAUACCUUGUAACAUGCUCAUACAAAGUACUUUGUUAUGCGUUAAAAUCAACAGUGAUGUUUACGUUUUGCACAACGAAGUAUGACCAGAAUAUUGUCAGUAGAGAUAGUUCCUGUAAAGUCAAAUUGGAAUUAUUCCAAGCAUUGAAUAAUGAAAAAUGCUUUGAGUUGAAAAUUGAACAUGUUAGUAUUUACCAGAUUAUAAACAUUUACCACAUUUUCACUUCAGUGGUCUAGCCCCAUUGUUAUUUUAAAAACGAGCACAUUUUCUUCCUACACUACUCUUUGUAAUAAAUUUUUUCUCUCCUGACCCCUGCACCUUCAUAGUAGUUGUAGCAUCAACUACAACACACCAGCAGCUACAAAACCUUAUUUUUUGGUAAACUCUUCAAAAACAAACGUGAUUACUUCUUUCCAGAGCUACUUAUAUGUCAUGAGUUUCAGUUUCUUGACCUUCCAGAGAGGCAGACAUUUUAUUUUUAUAAGUUCCACAAAACUCUCAUUUAAAUUGUUCCGCUGUAAGACUGUCAUGGUCUGUCUCCGCUUCAGUAUUUCAACAUGCUGUAGCUACAGCCAGUAAUCUAUUAAUAGAAUUUAUUUAAAACUGAUAUAUAAACUUAGUAAUUUACCACCAGUCUAUUAAAAAAAUAGAUGAGACUUCAAAUAAACAGGUGAAAAUUUAGUAACUCUUCUAGGCCUUAUUGAAAAUUUGAUUGAGAAGGCUGACAGAUCCCAUUGAGAAUUAAACAGAGGAUAUGAAAGUAUGUCAUGUUACUAGGCAGAAGUUGCUGUGAAAUGUGCUUUGGAAUUAAGUUUGUUAGCACAGUAUAGUAUAAUUAGCUUUAAUGUUGUAAAAGUACUGUAUGUUCCUUUUUCCCAUAUCCCUUUAAAUUUGACUGUACAACUUAAUUGCAUUUAGCAUAUAAUGUGCAUAACACCAUUGGAUCUCUUUUGAAAGAGGAAAAAAAUUCUUUACCAUGUUAUCGUUACAAUUUUAAGUAAACAUGGACUGUAUUAAAGAGUAAAAUUAUUCUAAUUUUUUUUUCAGCUUUGUUUUAUCAGAGUGAGGUUUAAGUAGAAAGUACUUGUUACUUAUAUCGGUUGGGAGUUAUGACUCUUUCCUGGUAACAGGAAGUCCUUUCUAAGCUACUUUAAGCUAAAAAAAGAAUUUAAAGAUAAGGUGUAGCACUGACUUCAGGCUUAAAUAGAUAUUGGGGCUCAACCUGUUAGCCGGACUGAUUUCUCUUAUCACCUGCUUCUGCGUUGGCUUCCUCCACACCCUGCACAUGGUGACAAGAUGGCCAAAGUGGCAAGAUGGCCAAAGUAGCUCUUAUCUCUGCAUCCUCUAAAGUUUGUGUCCACCUAGAGGAAACUCCUCCGUCUGUGCCAGCCUUAUUUGCAAAUGUCUUACUGUUUCCUCAUUGUCCUAGUCCCUGUACCAGGUAGGAAUGUCAUGAGUCUAGUCUUAGAUUGGAGUAAUUUGUUCUACUUGUGUCUCAAGACUUUGGGUGAAGCACUUGGACUGAGAGUGGGGUGGGAUGUAUGAAUUCCCAGAAGAAAACCAGAUAAGCUGGGAGACAGGGAAUAGAUGCUGGGGAGGCCAAAAACAAAAGUUCAGCAUAUAUAGUAGGGUUUGUCUUUGGGAGUUUUACCUUUGAGGUGACUCAAAUGAAGGAGAACAGUUCUGUGUCCUAGGAAACAAUGUUUUGUAUUCAUUUCUUCCAUUGGAAUAAACAGUUACAUCUCAAUUUGCACAUUUCAAAUUGGCAUUGCAAACUUCACUGAAACCAGCAUGAGCCACGCUAGAGCUGAGAGAGAUGUUCACAACAUAGAUAAUUGAACUUAAUAUGUUCUUCCCACCAAAAAAAUAAAACACAUACACAUUUGGUGAAAAGCAGUCCAAGAGGCCAGUGCUCAUGUUUCAUUCUGAAUUGUUGAUCUCAGCUGUAAUUCAUUCCUCAACAAUAAUCUUGAGAACUUUAUAAAUGAAGAUUAGGUGUUUUGCUGAUUUAAACAGUUUUCUACCUGUAUGCCAUCAUCUCGCCCUAUAUUAAAAAUAAUAAUAAUGGUAACUUUUAACCUUUGUCCAUUUAGAAAUUUGUUAUUAGAAUUCUACAAAGUCAAAGAAAAAUAAACUAAGGUAAAUGGCCUUUGGGCAAUUCAAAUUUUACUUCCCCCUCACAAUGUAUGUUUUGAGUUUUUGUUUUGUUUCAUUUGUCAUUUUCCUACAGUCCUUAUUUUCAUAUGUUAAAUAGCUGGAAAAGCAAUACCACAGUGUUUACCUGUCAUAGGUCAAGAGACAAGAUCAGAUCCCUGGGGUAUAGGAUGUAAUUUUAGUCAAGGUUUCUUGCCUAUAGAAAGUUCAAAAGCAUCAGGUUUUAGGAGCAGCCUGAAAGUUUUCCUUAGAUUCUUUUUCUGGGGAAUAGGUAUUUUCCUUUUCUUAGCUUCCUAGUUAGUUAUAGUUCUGCAACAUCUUAAACAUUUUCUCCCCUGGCAUUUACACUCUUCCAGUCAUCAUGUAUACUUUUUAUUCAUGCCCUAGCAAACUGUUUUUAUUUUUCUAGCAUGGAGACUUAAACUGGAGAAAAUUUUUAUUGUAUUUCCUACUUCUACAAGUAUUUAUUGUGUGCUUUCUACGUUCUAGGUCCCGAUCUGGGGUCUGAGAUAUAUUUUUUCCACGUUUUUUUGUUGUUAGGUGCUAUCAAGUCAGUUCCAAUUCAUAGCCGCCUAAUGUACGACAGAACAAAACAUUGCCCGGUCCUGGCCAUCCUCACAAUUAUUGCUGUGUUUGAGCCUGUUCCAGCCAUUGUGUCAACCCAUCUCGUUGAAGGUCUUCCUCUUUUUCGUUGACCCCCUGCUUUACCAAGCAUGAUGUUCUUCUCCAGAGAUUGGUUCCUGCUGAUAACGUCCAAAGUACAUGAGAUGAAGUCUCACCAUCCUUGCCUCUAAGGACUCUUCUGACUGUACUUCCUCCAAGACAGAUAACUGUACUAAAACCAUACUCUUGAAACUAUAACAAGAUUAAUCCGACAGUAUGACUGUAUGAUAUGAAAGGCAGAUUGGAGCAGAAUGAGGCAGAGAGGGGAGGAAAAAUUUGUCCAUAGGUUAAGUCAUUUAGACAAUGAGGAAGGCCUGGAUUAAAGUAAUGACAGAGGGGAAAGAGAUUAAACCUGAACAAAAUUGAAAAAAGAUGACUAGUUUCAGUGGCAUCUGAGGUUGUUGCCUGUGGGAAUGAUGAUGCCAUGUUGAUGCUAUGGUAGAAAGGAGAAUUUGCUUGAGAACAAAAAAUAAAAUACUGUUAAAUAAAUAAGUGGAGGAGAAAAGACAGAUCUCCUGUAUGGAAGAAACACAAAUAAUUUAUGCAACUACUUCCCUAGGACAUGGAGCUUAACUCCCCAUCCUUCCCUGAGUGUGGGCUGAUCUUAGUAAAUUGCUUCCACAAACCCAAGCUGAGAGAGACAUUCUGCAAAAUACCUGACCAGGCUUCCUCAAAAUUGUCAGGGUCAUUAGAAACAAAGUCUGAGAAACUGUCACAGACCAGAGGGGAGGCCAGAGAAACAUGAUGACUAAGUGUGACACGGUAUUCUGGAUGGGAUCCUGGAACAGAAAAGGUACAUUAGAAAACAUUAGUAAAAUCUUAAUAAAAUGUGGAGUUUAAUCAAUAGCAGUGUAACAUUGUUGAUUCCUUAGUUGUGACAAAUUAUGUUAGGUAGUAAUGUAAGAUGUUAACAGUAGGGCAAACUGGGAAAGGUAUACGGGAACUCUGUUCUGUCUUUGUAACUUUUCUGUUCAUCUAAAGCUAUUCUAAAACAAAAAGUUUAUUUUUAAAAAUAAUACAUUCAGAACAAAAGUAAUUCUGUUUUACUACUGAAACUAAUAGAAGAGUUCAGCAGAGUUUCUGGAUAUAAGAUAAACAUACAAAAAUCACUUGGAUUCCUCUACACCAACAAAAAGAACAUUGAAGAAGAAAUCACCAAAUCAAUACCAUUUACAGUAGCCCCCAAGAAGAUAAAAUACUUAGGAAUAAAUCUUACCAGAGAUGUAAAAGACCUAUACAAAGAAAACUAUAAGACAGUACUGGAAGAAACCAAAAGAGACCUACAUAAGUGGAAAAACAUACCUUGUUCAUGGAUAGGAAGACUCAACGUUGUAAAAAUGUCUACUCUGUCACAAGCGAUCUGUAGAUUUAAUGCAAUUCCAAUCCAAGUUCCAAUGACAUUUUUUAAUGAGAUGGAGAAAGAAAUCACCAUUUUCAUAUGGGAGGGAAAGAGGCCCCGUAUAAGUAAAGCAUUGCUGAAAAAGAAGAACAAAGUGGGAGCCCUCACUCCACCUGAUUUUAGAACCUGUUAUACAGCCACAGUAGUCAAAACAGCCUGGUACUGGUACAACAACAGAUACAUAGACCAAUGGAACAGAAUUGAGAAUCCAGACAUAAAUCCAUCCACAUAUGAGCAGCUGAUAUUUGACAAAGGCUAAAAGUCAUUUCACUGGGGAAAAGACAGUCUUUUUAACAAAUGGUGCUGGCAUAACUGGAUAUCCAUCUGCGAAAAAAAAAAAAAAGAAACAAGACCCAUACCUCAUACCAUGCACAAAAACUAACUCAAAAUGGAUCAAAGACCUAAAUAUAAAGUCUAAAAUGAUAAAGAUCAUGGAGAAAAAAUAGGGACAACGUUAGGAGCCCUAAUACAUGGCAUAAACACAAUACAAAACAUUACUAAAAAUGCAGAAGAGAAACCAGAUAACUGGGAACUCCUAAAAAUCAAACACCUAGGCUCAUCCGAAGACUUCACCAAAAGAGACUGCCUACAGGCUGGGAAAAAGUUUUUAGCUAUGACGUUUCCGAUCGGCGCCUGGUCUCUCAAAUUCUGCUAAAACUUAACCACAAAAAAACAACCCAAUUAAAAAAUGGACAAGGGAUAUGAACAGGCACUUCACUACAGAAGACAUUCAGGCGGCUAACAGAUACAUGAGGAAAUGCUCACGAUCAUUAGCCAUUAGAAAAAGCAAAUCAAAACUACAGUGAGAUUCCAUCUCACUCCAACAAGGCUGGCAUUAAUCCAAAAAACACAUAAUAAUAAAUGUUGCAGAGGUUGUGGAGAGACUGGAACACUUAUAUACAGCAUAAUUCAAAGGCAUCAAUUCUUCAGUCUUCCUUAUUCAUAGUCCAGCUUUCACAUGCAUAGGAGGCGAUUGAAAAUACCAUGGCUUGGGUCCGGUGCGCCUUAGUCCUCAAAGUGACAUCUUUGCUUUUGAACACUUUAAAGAGGUCUUUUGCAUCAGAUUUGCCCAAUGCAAUAUGUCAUUUGAUAUCUUGACUGCUGCUUCCAUGGGUGUUCGUUGUGGAUCCAAGUAAAAUGAAAUCCUUGAUAAGUUCAAGCUUUUCUCCAUUUAUCAUGAUGUUGCUUAUUGGUCCAGUUUUGAGGAUUUUUUUUCUUUACUUUGGGGUGUAGUCCAUACUGAAGGCUGUAGUCUUUGGUCUUCAUCAAUAAGUGCUUCAAGUCCUCUUCACUUUCAGCAAGAAAGGUUAUGUCAUCUGCAUAUUUCAGGUUGUUUUUGAGUCUUCCACCAAUCUCAAGGCCACUUUUUUCUUAAUUUGGUCCAGCUUCUCGAAUUAUUUGUUCAGCAUACAAAUUGAAUAAGUAUGGUGAAAGGACACAACCCUGAGGGACACGCCUCCUGAUUUUUUAAACCAGAUAGCAUCCCCUUAUUCAGUAUAUAAUCUUAAAUAACUAAUAGGUGUUCUAGAAAAUGGACUCAUUUUUCUUGAUGAGAGAAAAGUGACUACUCAGGUUGGGAAUUGCUGAAGUGCAGGCUCAUUAUUUUUAUGCUAGAGAUAAAAAUUUAAAAUCCUAUUCCCAAGAAUGAUUCUGCACUAGAACUUGAAGAUAGCUUUGGUGAAUUAUUUUAAUAAAAACGAGAAAUGAAGCUCUUUCACAAUUUGUCAGAGUUAAGAGUUUGGCUUCAUCUUCCAGAAUCUUAAUCAUCGUCAUCAUCAUUAUCAUAACUGAUUAAAUACCAUUUACAUUUUUUCGUAUAAUCCUCACAGGAAGUCUGCAAGGUAAGGUUGUACUAAUGAGGAAACAGAACAUUGACAGUAUAAAUCAGCCUGUUAAAAGAGAACUUUAUAUUUUGGGGUCUCACAUGCCCUAUCUCCUGGGAGCAGAGGGGUACUUUUACUCCACAGGGUAAAACCUGCAUGGAAAAUGUGACAUUGCCUAUAAACACUGACAGUGAGUUAUGGAAGAGCAUAGCAGUUAACAUUUACGAAGCUCUUACUAUGUUCCAGACAUUGUACAUAUUUUAUGUAAUUUUUAUGAGAUUGGUACUGUUAGUAUUCCUGGUUCACAUAUGAGAAAACUUGGAAAUUUGCUCAAAAUCACACAGGCAGUAAGUGAUAGAACAAGAUUUAAACCUAGGCAGUCUGACCCAAGAAUCUACAUUACUAUAUGUUUAGUCAUUGAUAAAUAGAUGGAGAGAGAGAAAGAUAGAUAUAAGGAGUUCCUAGGUGAUGUAAACAGUUAACACGCUUGUCUGCCACCCAGAAAGUUGGAGAUUUGCAUUCACUUGGAAGUACCUCAAAAGAAAGGUCUGGUGAUCUACUUCUGAAAAACCAGCCAUUGAAAAUCCUGUGGAGCGUAGUUAUACUCCAAUAUACAUGGGGUUGCCAUGAGUUGGAAUUGACUUGAUGGCAACUGGUUUCUAUGUGAUACAUGUAUUUUUUUUAUCUAUUUUCCCUUCAGUAUGGGGGAAGCUGAUUAAAGGCCUGUUAUGGAUUGAAUUGUGCACCCCAAAAAUGUGUGUCAAUUUGAUUAGAUUGUGAUUCCCAGUAUCGUGUGAUUGUCUACCAUUUUGUCAUCUGAUGUGAUUUUCCUGUGUGUUAUAAAUCCUGCCUCUAUUUUUUUUAUGAUGUUAAUGAGGUGGGAUUAGUGGCAGUUAUGUUAAUGAGGCAGAACUCAAUGUACAAGAUUAAGUUGUGUCUUAAAUUAAUCUCUUUUGAGAUAUAAGAGAGAAGUGAGCAGAGAGAGACAUGGGGUCCUCAUACCGCCAAAAAACGAGAGCCUGGAGAAUAGCACAACCUUUGGACCUGGGAUCCCUAUGCUGAGAAGUCCUUGGCUAGGGGAAGAUUGAUGACAAAGACCUUCCCCCAGAGCCAAAGAGAGAGAAAGCCUUCUCUUGGAGCUAGAACCCUGAAUUUUGACUUCUAGUGUCCUAGACUAUGAGAGAAUAAAUUUUUCUUUGUUAAAGCCAUCCACUUAUGGUAUUUCUGUUGUAGCAGCACUAGAUAACUAAGACCAGCCCCCAACCAAACAAGCAAACUGAAAAAAAAAAAAAAAAAAAAAUUGUUGUUUUUAGUGCCAUCAAGUUGGUUCCAACUGAUAGCUACACUAUGUACAACAGAAUGAAACAUUACCCAGUCUCACACCAUCCUCAUAAUCUUUGCUAUGUUUGAGCCCAUUGUUGCAGUUGCUGUGUCAGUCCAUCUCAUUGAGGGUCUUCCUCUUCUUCACUGACCUUCUACUUUACCAAGCAUGAUAUCCCUCUCUAGGGACUGGUCCCUCCUGGUAACAUGUCCAGAGUAUGUGAGAUGAAGUCUCACCAUCUUUGCUUCUAAGGAGCAUUCUGGCUGUACUUCUUCCAAAACAGAUUUCUUCAUUCUUCUGGCAGUCCAUGAUACAUUCGAUAUUCUUCACCAACACCAUAAUUCAAAGGGAUUGAUUCUUCUUCAGUCUUCCUUAUUCAUUGUCUGGUUUUCGCGUACAUAUGAGGCAAUUAAAAAUAACCGUGACCUUCAUCAGGUGCACCUUACUCCUCAAGGUUACAUCUUUGCUUGUCAACACUUUAAAGAGGUCUUUGCAGCAGAUUUGCCCAAUGCGAUAUACCUUUUGAUUUCUUGACUGCUGCUUCCACAGACGUUGACUGUGGAUCCAAGUAAAAUGAAAUCCUUGACAAAUUCAAUCUUUUCUCCAUUUAUCAUGAUGUUGCUUAUUUGUUCAGUUGUGAGGAUUUUUGUUUUUUUUAUUGAGGCGCAAUCCACACUGAAGGCUAUAGUGUUUGAUCUUUAUCAGUAAGUACUUCAAGUGGUCUUCAUUUUCAGCAAGCAAGAUUGUGUUAUCUGCUUAUCACAGUUCCUUAAUGAGUCUUCCUCCAAUCUCAGUGGCAUGUUCUUCUUCGUAUAGUCCAGUUUAAUUAUUUGUUCAGCACACGGAUUGAAUAAGUACAGUGAAAAGACACAACCUUGACGCACACCUUUCCUGAUUUUAAACUAUGCAGUAUCCCUUAUUCUGUUCGAAAGACUGUCUUUUGGUUAUGUACGGAUUAGGCAUGAGCACAAUUAAGUGUUUUGGAAUUCACGUUCUUUGAAAUGUUAUCCAUAAUUUUUUCCCCUCCACAUAGUCAACAAAACACAGGUAAACAGCUUUCUGGUAUUCUCUGAUUUCAGAUCCAUCUGACAUCAAUGUCCUCUUCUCAAUGCGGCUUGGAUUUCUGGCAGUUCCCUGUCAAUGUAUUGCUGCAACUGCUUUUGAAUUAUCUUCAGCAAAAUUUUACUUCCUUGUGAUACUAAUGAUAUUGUUUGAUAAUUUCUACAUUCUGUUGAAUCACAUUUCUUUGGAAUGGGCACAAAUAUGGAUCUCUUCCAGUCAGUUGGCCAGGUCUCUCUCUCCCAUAUUUCUUGGCAUAUAUGAGUUAGCACCUUCAGUACUGCGUACGUGUGUUGAACCAUCUCAGUUGGUAUUCCAUCAAUUCCUGGAGCCUUGUUUUUCACCGGUGCCUUCAGUGCAACUUGGACUUCUUCCUUCAGUACCAUCAGUUCUUAAUUAUAAAAAACCAGUUGUUUUUGGUACAGUGACUCUGUGUAUUCCUUCCAUCUUUUUUUGAUGCUUCCCAUGUUGUUUAUUAUUUUGCCCGUAGAAUCAAGUAUUGCAACUCAAGGCUUUGAGUUUUUCUUCAGUUCUUUCAGCUUGAGAAAUGCCGAGUGUGUUCUUCCCUUUUGGUUUUCUAACUUCAGGUCUUUGCACAUUUCAUCAUAAUACUUUACUUUGUCUUCUCAAACCACCCUUUGAAAUGUACUGUUCAGCUCUUUUACUUAAUCAUUUCUUCCUUUUGCUUUAGUUACUUUACAUUCAAGAACAAGUUUUAGAGUCUCUCCUGACAUCCAUUUUGAUCUUUUCUUUCUCUCCUGCCUUUUUAAUGACCUUUUGCUUUCUUCAUGUAUGAUAUCCCUGUUUACACCUCACACCUCAUCUGGUCUUUGGUCAUUAGUGUUCAGUGCAUCAAAUCUAUUCUUCAUAUGGUCUCUAAAUUCAGGUAGAAUAUACUCAAGGUCAUAUUUUGGCUCUUGUGGACUUGUUCUAAUUUUCUUCUGUUUCAACUUGAACUUGCAUAAGAGCAGUUGACGGUUCUGCAGUCGGCCCCUGGCCUCUAUCUGCCUGAUGAUAUUGAGCUUGUCCACAGAUGUAGCCAAUUUUAUUCUUGUGUAUUCCACCUGUCGAGUCCACGUGUAUAGUCACUGCUUAUGUUGUUGAAAAAAGGUAUUUCCAAUGAAUAGAUCAUUUCUCUUGCAAAAUUCUAUCAUGUGAUGGUGUCGUUUUUUCAAGGCCAUCCUUUCCACCUUCUUUUCUGAUCCUUCUUUGCUUCCAGUUUUUGUAUUCCAAUCUACAGUAAUUAUCAAUGCAUCUGGAUUGCAUGUUAGAUCGAUUUCAGACUGCAGACAUUGAUAAAAUUCUUCAGUUUCUUCGUCAUUUGCAUGAAUGGCUGGUACAUAAAUUUGAAUAUUAGUCGUAUUAAUUGUUCUUCCUUGUAGGCAUAUGGAUAUUAUCCUAUCACUGACAGCGUUGUACUUCAGGAUAGAUCUUGAAAUAUUCUUUUUGACAAUGAAUGCAGUGCCAUUCCUCUUCUAUUUGUCAUUCCUGGCAUAGUAGACCAUGUGAUUGUCCAUUCUAAAUGGCCAGAACCUGUCCAUUUCAAGUCACUAAUGCCCAGGAUAUCUAUUUUCAAGUGUUUCAUUUUUUUUUUUACAACUUCCAGUUUUCCUAGAUUCAUACUUUGUACAUUCCAUGUUCCAAUUAUUAGUGGAUGUUUGCAGAUGUUUCUUCUUAUUUUGAGUUGUGCCACAUCAACAAAUGAAGGUCCCAAAAGCUUUACUUCAUUCACGUCAUUAUGUUUGAUUCUACUUUGAGGAGGCAACUAUUCCACAGUCAUAUUUUGAGUGCCUUCCAACCUCAGGGGCUCAUCUUCUGGCACUGUACUAGGCAAUGUUCUACUGCUAUUCAUAAGGCUUUCACUGCCCAGUUAUUUUAGAAGUAGAUCAUCAGGUCCUUCUUACUGGUCUGUCUUAGUCGGGAAGCUCAGCUGAAACCUGUCUGCCAUGGGUGACCCUGCUGGUAUUUGAAAUACUGGUGGCAUAGCUUCCAGCAUCACAGCAACACGCUAGCCACCACCGUAUGACAAAUUGAUGAACAAGUGGUGGACAUAGUAGAACUGCCCCAUAGGAUUUCUAAGGCUGUAAAUCUUUGCUGAAACAGACUGCCACAUAUUUCUCCCAUGGAGCAGCUGCUGGGUUCGAACUGCCAGACUUCCAGUUUUCAGCCGAGCACUUAACCACUGCACCACCAAGGCUCCCUAAUUAGAGGCCCAGGCUCUUCAGAACCAGACAGUUUUUACCAGGGAACCAGGGUGGCUGCUUCCCAAAUAGCUGCUUUUAGACUUUUUUUUUUAGAUAUUUUCAGUAUACUGUUUGAUGACCAUAGUCUUCAGCCUUUUUUGCUUCCUGUGUGUGCUCAUUCUCAAAACUCCUGUCUUAGGUUUUUAGUCUGUUUUCCUAUAGUCUCUAGACUUGAACUAGUGUCUCUGAGUUAACUACACCCAAAGUUUUAGUCUACCAAAUCUGCAACUUUUAUUCAUCUCUGAGAGAGAGACAAUGGAUAAGUGGGAAGCCACGGUGCCUUUUAUUUAUAGUCGAGUCUCCAAGUCAUAUGCUCUCAUGUCUGCCUCAUUCUUUUAGUUAUAAGCAAGUCACUAGGUCUAGCCUACACUCACGGGGAAGAGGAUUAAACUCUACUUCUUGAAACCAGGCGUAUCAAAGUAUUUGUGGACAUAUUUUUUAAAUCGCCAGUGGUCUUUUGAUUAGUAUAUGAAAAUAGUUCAUCUAGUUGGUAUCUGUGAGUACAGUUAUAACUGGGUUAUUUUCUUCCAUUCCACUAUAAAUACCUAUAAAAUAAACCAAAGGAAAUCACAUCUUUUUAAUAUUAACAUCUCAUCUUUAUUUGGACAUCUAGCAGUAGGUCCACUGUUGGGCAAAGAGCUAAGCUUAAAGUGACAAACAAUGAUGUCAUUGAAUUUACAAGUUGAGGAAAUGAAUAUAAAUAAGAUACAUUGGUCAAAAGUAAUUUCAUUCAUGCAUUUUUACCAUAGUUCCUGUCCAUGUCAUAACUCUUUUCCUGACUGUUCAUUUUCAUCGGGGUUUAAUGAAGUACCGUCUGCUCAGUUUGAGUGACCAACUCAUAUUUAGCAGGAAUAUAUUGAAAAAAGUGUAGGAGUCUCAGUGCGUUUAUUGAAGAAAUGCUGUUCUUAAAUCAUUUUAAAAUGAAGUAAGGUUUAAGUAAACAAUACAGAGGAACUGUACAGAUUUGUGUGUGUGUGUGUGUGUGUAUGUUAACAAUAAUUCCCAGAUACCUUCUGUAGAUGACUAUUUUGUGUUGUUUCUGAUUCUUAGAGACUUCUGCCACUGAGAUUUACUUAGGCCAUGUGGGGAAUGUUGGAUGCAUAUGUUUUGGAUGAGGGUUUUUAAUAAUCCCAUAGGAAAUCUAGAUUGUGAUAAGUUGUAUUUUGUUAUAUGUGAAUAGUGCUAUUAUCAAAUGGCUACCUCGACAAAAGAGCUGUGUUAUAGGGAAGAAAUAUCACAAAGUUCAGUAAAGCAAAAAAGUUUUAUUUGGCAUAUAUUCAGAGAGGCAAAAGUAGGAAAUGGACAGCCAUGGUGCCGGAGCCAUGUCUGCCUGAGUCCAAGGAAAUAGUACAGGCAAAAGUGGGAAAAUGGACAAGCCUGCUGCUGAAGAGAACCAUGUCUGCUAGAAUCCAAAGAAUAUUACAGAAUAGGCAAGAAUGGGAGAACAGACAAGCAUGCUGCCACAGCCAGGUCUGAGAGAAUAUACAGAAUCUUUAGUAUAUAUUUACAUUACAAGUGGGCAAAACCAUUGAAAGCUUCACAUUUUCACAGAUUGGCCAGAAACUGCUAAAUCUCUGUAAUCCUACAUUUUGAAUUGUCUUUCUUAACAAUCAUUGGUACAGGUUUCAUUAACAGUCAGGAGGGUCUUCAUUGGUCCAGCAUAUUUCCUAUUCACUAACUGCUAAUAGAAAAAGAUAAGAGGGGAAAGUCUUUUGGGUUGUUUGGCUUAUGUGAAAGGUUCCAUAAAAGAUAUUUUCCAGGAUUAUCCUAGUUAUUGUCAUUUUACCUCAGGCCCCAGUUGAUGUGUCCUUGUGAGCCCUGCUCCAGCUGGGUCACAUUCUCUAUCCUCAAGGACAGAGACUAAUGAUUCCAGUAUUAUUUUCUGAAUCAGCUGUUUACCAUAAAAAUUAUGAAAUUUGAAUAUGCAGUGAAAAUAUGGUGUUUCGAAGCCACAAAAAGGCAAAAAUGAUGACAGAGUGUAAGAACUGAAGUUGAAACUGCCAUGGAGUCUCAAUCUAUUUUAAAGAAUGUUCCAGAAAAUUAUCAUUUGCCUAACUAAUGACUGUUAAGUUAGAAUCUGUCAGAAAAGUCACAUUUUGAAGAAAGAGGUAAAAUAAGGUCCUGUGACUCAACUGUGAACUUAAAUACAAAUUAAUACGGAAAAAUUCUCAUAAAAACUUGAAUUUGGAAAGAGAAAAUGAAAGUUGGAGUCAGCUGAGUUAGUACUCUCUGAAUCACAAGGGAAUCCCAGCUAUACUAAGGAUGGUUACAUUUGAGGUAUGGCUGCUAGAGGCCACCCUCCUUCCUCUAGGUCCCCUCUCCCCAUUGUGAUUGAAAUGACCCCAGGCUAAUCUUGAUUUUUAAAAGGCUGUUGUAGAGGCAACUGAAUGAUCUGCUUCAUACACAACAACCACCCAAGCCCCACCGUGAUGAUUUUGUGGCCUAUUUAUGAGGAACCAAAUCCUUGUCCCCAUUUUUUAUAAAGUUCUUUUUUUUUUCGUAUUUGUUUAGUAGAUAUUAAAAUUUGAAUUUAAAAAUCUCAAAAUAAUAAUAAAUUUGCUGAAAGAAAUUAAAUCUCUAAAUAAACAGGAAGAUAACAUGCUCGUGGAUUUGGAAAACCUAUAGAUUCAGUGCAAUCCCAAUCAAAAUCUCAGCAGGCUUUUUUUUUUUUUGAUAGGAACUGACAAGCUGAGUCUAAAAUGUAUAUGGAAAUGCAAGGGACCUAGAAUAUUCAAAACAACUUUGAAAAAGAACAGAAUUAGAGAACUUAUACUACCUGUAUUUCAGGACUUACUAGAGUUAUGGUAAAAUCAAGACAUUUUGGUAUUGUCAGGAAGGUAAUAAAAAGAUUAAGGAUCUGCAGAGAGCCUUAUAAAUUGGGACACAGCCAUACUUAAUAGUUUACCUAUUGCUUUUUACCUAAAACAGCAGUUGAGUGUGAGAGAGACCAUAUGGCCCCAAACCUAAAAUAUUUACUUUCUAGCCCCUUAAUAGAAAGCUCAGAAAUAGAUCGUCACAUGUAUUAUUAAAUGAUUUUCACAAAGGUGCCAAUCAACAGGGAAAAAGAUAGUCAUUUUGUCACCUGAAGAGUUUGCUUCCACCCCUACCUCAUACCCUCACAAAAAUUAACUUGAUCAUAGACCUAAACUUAAAAGCUAAAACUAUAAAAAUUGUAGAAGAAAACAUAGAAUAUUCUUCAUUACUUUGGAGUAGGCAAAGAUUCUUAGGAUACAAAAGCACUAACCAUAAAAGAAAAAAAUUAAUAAAUUUGAUUUCAUAAAAAUGAAAACACCUGCUCUUUAAAAGGCAUCAUCAAGAAAAUGAAAUGGCAAGCAACAAACUGGGAGAAAAUGUUAGCAAAACAUAUAUCAAUAAAGGAUGUAUACCCAGAAUAUAUCAAGAAGGCUUACAAUUUAAUAAGACAACUCAGUUUUAAAAAUAGGCAGAGCAGAGGAUUUGAACAGACACUUUACAAAAGAUUUUAAACUGGCCAGUUAGCACAUGUAAAAAUUAUAUCAUUAGACAUCAAGAAAAUGCAAACCAAAACAGUGAAAUACCACUUAAUAUGAACUAGAAUGGCUAAAAUUAAAAAUAUUAGUAAUAGCAAGUGCUGACAAGAAUGUGGAACAACUAGAAUUCCUGCAUAGCUGGUGGGGGUCUAAAUGGUGCAACCAAUUUAGAAAACUGUAUAGGAGUUUCUUAUACUUAAGCAUAUACUAACCAUAUGACUGACAAAUUCCAGUCUUAGAUGUUUACCCAAUUGAAAUGAAAAUAUAUGCCCAUAAAGACAUGUUUGUGAAUAUUCAGAGCAGGUUUCUUCAUAAUAGCCAAAACUGGAAACAGUUCAACUGUCCAUACAUGGGUGAAUUAAUAAAAAAUUCUGGUAUAUUUAUGUAACAGAAUACCAUUCAGCAGCAAACAGGAACAAAUUGCUGAUAUACACAAUUAUUGCUGUUGUGUGUGGUCGAGUCGAUUCCGACUCAUAGCUACCCCAUUGACAGAGUAGAACUGCCCAUAGUGUUUCCUAGCCAGUAAUCUUUACCUGAGGAGCCCUGAUGGUGCAGUGAUUAAAAGCACUUGGCUGCUAACCAAAAGGUCGGCAAUUUGAACCCACAAGUUGCCCCAUGGGAUAAAGAUGUGGCAGUCUGCUUCCAUAAAGAUUUACUGCCUUGGAAACCUUAUGGAUCACUAUUAAGUUAGAAUCUACUCCAGGGCAGUGAGUUUAAUCUUUACCUAGGAGCUGUGGUGGUACAGUGGUUAGAGCUUGUUAAGAGCUCAGCUGCUAACUGAAAGGUCAUCUGCAGGGGUGGAUUACCCAACAAGCAAGGUUACCACAGGUUUACUUGUGCUUACUUAAUAAUCUGUAGUGAACAGUUUCACAGUUUUUUACCUCAUCAAAGACUCUGCUUCUUGAUAUGGCUGGCAUCUGUUUCUCUCCCAACCCGACAGCACCUUCCUACAGAAUCAAAGCCUCUUUUCAAAUUUAUAAUGCCUGACAGGGACAGAUUACCCAAGUAAGCAAGGUAAUGAUGUGGUAAAAAACUGUGUGUAACUGUUCACCACAAAUUAGUAAGUAAGCACAAAUAAGACUGUGCUUACCUUGAUGUGGUGAAAACCAUGUGAAACUGUUCACUACAGGUUAAUGAAUCAGCACAAAUAAGGCCAUGCUUACUUUGCUUAUUAGGUAAUCUGCCACUGGUUGGCGGUUCAAACCCACCAGCUGCUCCUCAGGAGAAAGAUGUGGUAAUUUGCUUCCGUAAAGAUUUAUAGUCUUGGAAAGCCUGUGGGGCAGUUCUGCCCUGUCCUGCCCGGUCACUCUGAGUCAGAAUCAACUCGACAGCAAUAGAUAACCUUCACAGGAGCAGAUUGCCAGGUCUUUUUUUCCCAUGGAGCAGCUGAUGGGUUUGAACCACUGACCUUCUGGUUAGCAGCCGAACACUUAACCAUUGCGCUGGCAGGGCUCCUUGACAUAUGCAAUAACUCCGCUGCUGUUGAAUCAAUUCUGACCCGUAACUGCCCCAUAGGGUUUUCAGGGAGUGGUCAGUAGAUUUUUGAACUGCCAACCUUUUGAUUGGGAGCCACAUGCUUAAGCACUGCACCAAUACACAAUAGCAUUGAUGAAUUCCAUGGACAUUAUGCUGAGUGAAAGUGGACAGACUCAAAAAUAGUACACUGGUCAUGAAAAUUAUCCCAUUACUAUCAAAUUGUAGAAUAGGCAAAAUUCAUUUAUAGUAAUAGAAAAACAAAGCAGUGGUUGUUGGGGCAUGGAUGGUGUCAUGGAUUGAAUUAUGUCCCCCAGAAAUAUCUAUCAACUUGGCCAGGUCGUGAUUCCCUUGCAUGAUUAUAUGAUUGUCUACUAUUUUAUCACCUGAUGUGAUUUCCUUGUGUAUUGUAAAUCCCAUCAAUAUGAUGUAAUAAAAUGGAUUAGCAGCAGUUAUAUUGAUGAGGUCUACGAGAUUAGAUAGUGUCUUAAGCCAGUCUCUUUUGAGAUAUAUGAGAGAAGUAAACAGGGAGAUAAGGGGACCCCAUACCAUCAAGAAAGCAGUGCCGGGAGUACAGUGCGUCCUUUGGACCUGAGGUUCCUGUGCUGAGAUGCUCCCAGACCAAGGGAAGAUUGAUGACAAGGACCUUUCCCAGAGCCAACAGAGAGAGAAAGCCUUUACCUGGAGCCAGCACCCUGAAUUUAGACUUCUAGCCUACUGGACUGUAAGAGAAUAAACUCUUUGUUAAAGCCAUCCACUUGUGGUAUUUCUGUUAUAGCAGCACUAGAUGACUAAGACAGAUGGGUAGCAGGAAGAUUGAGUUUACGUAAAGUGGCACAAGUGAACUUUGGUAGGAAGGAAACGUUCUGUAUCUUGAUUAUAGUGACUACACCAAAAACCAAACCAGUUGUCCUCGAGUCGAUUGCAACUCACAGCGGCCAUACAGGACAGAAUAGAACUGCCUCAUGGGGUUGCCAGUGAGUGGCUGGUGGGUUCAAACUGCCAUCCUUUUGGUUAGCAGACGAGGUCUUAACCACUGCACCACCAGGGCUCUUAACAAUUACAUAGGUCUAUACAUUUGUCAAAAGUAAUCAGGCUGUACACUUAAAACGUGAAUUUUAUUAUCAUAAAGUAUGCCUCCAAAAAACUUAUUUUAAAAAUUUUUAUUAAAAAGUGAUGAAUAAACUAUAUUUCUAUUACAAAAAGUAAAUUGGGCCAUGUCUCUCCUCUGCUUGAAACCCUUUACACUUUCUCAUUGCAUGUCAGGUAAAAUCCAGACUCCUUCCUGACUUCCUUUUCUAAUGCAUUGUCUGCCACUUUCUUCCUUGCUCACUGGGCUCUGGCUAUGCUUGCCUUCUUUCAUUGGUACAACAUCCAUACUUUUCUAGUAUGCUGUUCAUUCUGCCUAGGACCCUCUUGAUUCACCCGUUUCCCCCACCGCAUUUUGUCAUAGCUACAUCCUCUCCCUUUAGAUCUCAGCUUAAAUGACAUAUCCACAAAGAAGCUGUUCCUGUCCUUGCCACUAUUACUCUGUGUUCCCUAGUUUGUUUUCUUCAUGGAACAAUGUACUGUUAUUUUAGGCAUCUGCCUAUUCUUUGUUUAUCUCUCUACCCCAAAUGUAAGGUCCAUGAGGAAGUUCUCAUGGCUGUCUCAUUCAACACUCUAUCCCCAGCACUUACCCUAGAGUCACCUAUGCUUUUUGGAGGAAUGGAUAUUGUUUCCUGAGCCUGAAAUCUCCAUUCCUUCUCAUCUAUUCAAAUUCUCCCUCAUCCUUCAAAGCCCAGCUCAAGUGACAGCUAUUCUUUAGUCUUCUUCAACUACCCUACUUAAUUCUCCUGGGAGUGAAUUUGUUUAUAAGCUAGCGUGAAUGUUUCGAAACUGGUGAAGGCAAUCAGAAACAAAGCACAGGUUCAGCAUUUGUUGAAGCAAAAGGACCUGUAACUUAAUGGAGUUCUUAACUUCCAAAGUCGAAUCAUGACUGUCAUGGAUUGUAUUAAGUCCCCCGCCAAAUGGGUGUAUCAACUUGGUUAGGCCAUGAUUCCUAGUAUUCUGUGGGUGUUCUCCAUUUUGUGAUUGUAAUUUUAUGUUAAAGAGGAUUAGGGUGGGAUUGUAACACCCUUAACCAGGUCACAUCCCUGAUCCAACGUAAAGUAAGUUUCCCUGGGGUGUGGCCUGCACCAUCUUUUGUUCUCUCAAGAGAUGAAAGGGAAAGGAGCAGAGAGUUGGGGACUUCAUACCACCAAGAAAAUAGCACUGGGAGCAGAGCGCAUCCUUUGGACUUGGAGUUCCUGCGCAGAGAGCUCCUAGUUCGAGGGAAGAUUGAUGAGAAGGCCAACAGAGAGAAAGCCUCCCCCUGGAGCUGAGUUUGAACGUCUAGCCUACUUUAGUUUGAGGAAAUAAAUUUCUCUUUGUUAAAGCCGUCCACUUGUGGUAUUUCUGUUAUAGCAGCAUUAGAUGACUAAGAUGAAGACAUUUGGAGAAAAAGCUGGUAAUCCAUCCUAUACGAAACAGUAUUGAGUCUCAAGUAAAUACUGAAUAGGCUUUUGAUUGCUCAAGAAAAUUUUUAUACAUCCUAUUUUCCAUCCUCAAACUGGGUCAUGCAAACGUCAAGCUUCUUUGAUGAAACUUCUCUCUUAAUUCAGAAAGGUGAAGGAUUGGUAGAAAAAGAAAAACUAUAAAAGUAUUUGUUUUCUUCCAGUUCUUCUAAUUUUCUACUCUAGGCUAGCUUCUGUGGUGUCUACUUGAACUAAUGGGUGAGAUUUGUAAGAGCCUGCAGAUGAAAAAAGGCUUAACGUUGCCUUCCUCUUCCUUCUUCACUCCCCUUCCCCAGUAAUUCUCCUGGUACAUUAUUCGCCUGGUACGUUUGAAAUUAGCUGUAUAAUAUCAUUAUAGCCUCUAGAAAUGACACCUAAAGGUAACCUCUCCUGCUCCCCCCCCCCGCACACACAUUCUGCAUAUGAAUCAACUGACACUUUAAAGUUGUAUUUUCUUUUAUUAAAAAAAAAAAAAAGAAGUUGACAUUGAAGGAGUAAGAAAAUAUAAUUCUGUAAAACCUAAGUGUUUCUCAGUUCCUCCUGUCAUAGGCCUGUGAUUAAUUUGUAACUUCUAGGCAUUAGUAUUUUAAGAGAAUUACAGCAGAAAGUAUCUUUUUGACAGAACAAACCAAAGUUUGUUAAAUCGCUUUUCAGCAAUAUUGAUCAACGUUCUGGUGUACCUUAGCCUUUUUACACCAAAAGCCCACUAAUACUCUUACCUCAUUGGUUCUUAAACUUGAGCAUACAUCAAAUCACCUGGAGACCAGGUUAAAACAAAUUGCUGGACGCUACCUCCAGAGUCUCAAAUUCAGUAGGUCUGGGGUGAGGUCCAAGAAUUUGAAUUUCUGACAAGUGUUGCUAGUACUGAUGAUGUGGUCUCGCUCUGGAAACUGUGAGAAUCACUGUAGCUCUUAUGAACGUUUUUGCAUUUUUGUGUUGGCCAGACCAAGGCCCUCUUUAGGUGAAUGUUACAGUUUGCAAUUCACCUUGCUCCGUGUGAUUUGUUUAUUGUUCUUCAAGGUGUUAGAUAGGCAGAAAACUGGAAUUUUCACUUGCAAUUUUAGAUUCAAUCUAAUCCUUAUCAUAGGAAGUUCUUGCCUUAAAAAGCAGUUCAUAAAACCCAUUUUGCCAGCACAGGGCAAACGAAAAAUCUGUUUUUUACUACCUAUGAUUAACCUAAUUCAAGAAGAAGGAGCAGGCUUAGGGGAAAGGCUAGUAUUAAAACAGUAAGUGUGGGAGCUUAAAAAUUAUUUUCUUGCAAUUAAUAUUACAGCCUCAAUAUGGCGUUUGAAAUUGUUUUUAGAAUCCUGGACCUAGUUAUUCACAUUUAGGGCUCAGUUUGCAAGGAUUAAAUAAUAUGUGUACUGAGUAUUUUUAAGGUUGCUCCAACUUCCGACAUUAGAACAGGUUGUUUGAGCGGCAGGAGGUGUGUGUUUGUGCAAAAAUUUGCAGAAAUGCUAGAGAGAUAUAGAUUCUAUCCCACUGAUAUACCAUCUUCCAACUUAACCUCACAUCUAUUGCCUUUGUUUGGUGUUAUCAAAAUGUAGUAUUCCAAAAGAUGUUUCUGUACAUGGUACCUUUAUUGCAUAACUAAAAAGCAGUUGGUUUCAUUUAAAUCUUUAAAAAAAAAUUUUUUUUAGAAAAUUGCUGCCAAGUUUAUUCUCCAUCUCUUGAUACUUGUUUGAGUUUUUGUUAUAGUUCAAAGAUUGAGCUGUUACUCAAUUAAGCCUUGAAUUAUAAAAAUAUUAUAUUUUUGAAAUCUUAAAUUAAUUUUUUUUAAGUUUUUAUGUUUUUAAUUUGAGGUUUAUCACGUUUCAUGGCUCAAAAUAGCACAUUCAGUUUUUGGCAUCUUCUGCCUGUGCCAGUGAAAGCAGAACCAUAUGGUGUGACUGCUGUUAUGCUAGGAAACCCACACACUGUAGAGACAUUGCCUGGCAUGAAGCAGAACCACUGCUCCCAUAUGCUUAUCUUUUUAAUGCCAACAUGUUGACCAAGAUAUGUUAGGGUUUCCGGACAUCACAGAUCCUCUCCAUUGAGUCUUCCAGAUCUUUCUCCUACCAGCAUCAACAUUUGCUCACAUUAUUAAAACAAAUACUCAAAACUUCAUGGAAUCUUUUACCCAACUUCAUAAAGAAGUUUUGACUGAGACUAUGACAAGUAAUACAAUCAAUAAGUAUUUUAGUGCCCCUUAAGCUCUUUUUUUUUUUUUUAAGCUCUAGUACCCCUCCACCUCUGUGCCCUCUCUUGAGUAAUAAACUCUUCCUCUCUACUCACCUUCCUCUCCUGACCAAAUAUCCAGAAGGAAGGAAAAAAAAAAAAACCCAUUGCUGUCGAGUCAGUCCCAACUCAUAGCGACCCUAUAGGAUAGAGUAGAACUGCCCCAUGGAGUUUCCAGAGAGCACCUAGUGGAUUCGAACUGCUGACCUUUUGGUUAGCAGCCGUAUCUCUUAACCAGUAUACCACCAGGGUUUCCAAAAGGAAGCGUAUUUGCAAAUAUUGAUCUUAAGUGUUGGUGUAAGUGUGGGAAGAUGGCUGAGAUUUGUAGUUUUAGGUGAUGGGAAGAGUUUAAAACAUGACAAAUAGAAUGUACUAAUUGCUAUUUUUCUCUCACUUCUGUGUUUUGUCCUUUGUUAAAUAGUUGUAAUAUGAUUUCCAUAUAACUACCCUUAAGUCUGCCCUUGAUUUGUCUGUUUUGUGCUAGAGCAGUCAUGUAGUUCAUUGUGAUCUUCAUGCAAACAUUUCUCAAUCUUCUAAGAUUACUGUUAAGGUUUUCCAGUAUAAAUUUAGCUAGUUCCUCUGAAAAUAAAGACAGGUACGGAUAGGUUUUGUUCACCAUAAAGAUUUUUUUACUAGUUUUCAAUAACCUUGUAUAAUUAUUCUUGUUUUAAAUAUUAUUUUAUUUUUGGUGAAAAUAUACUCAGCAGAUUAUAUACACAUUCAGCGGUUUCUACACGUACAAUUCAGUGACAUUGUUUAUAUGCUUCACAUUGUAUCAUUAUUCUCGCUAUCUUUCUCUAUAUUGUUUCACCACUGUUGACUUAGACUCAGUGCCCCAUAAACUACUAAUAUGUGCUUUAGAGUUACUGUUGUCGAUUUCAUCUGAUUACAGAUAAUUCUUUAGAAGAGCACAGCGCUCAAGGUGACCAUUCUUUACCAAUUCAGCUAAGCUGUUGUUUAGUUUGAAGAUUACUUCAGGAGAUAGUUUUGGUUCAAGGUUCAAAAAUUUUCUCAGGGCACCUUUCCUAAAUGUGUGCUUUUGAGACAGAAAUGAAGCAGAAUUUACCAAGAUUUCACAUGAUAUUGAUUUCUCAAGCAGAAAUUUACCUAAGGCCUAUGUUGUAACCAGCGAUGUAUCACUGUAAUAUUUAGAAAUUCUUAAAAGAAUCAUUUGGGGGAAGAAGGCUUAGUGAGAUAAAAUUGUCAUUAUGAGAUAACUAGGUUAUAAUGUCAUUCAGAAAGAAGAAAAUUUUUCCAGGUAUAAUCCAUUGGUGUUUGUUCAUAUGGGUUUUUUUUUUUUUUCUUGGUCAUUUCUAAAGGCUUCAUUUGAAGGAUGAACAGUUUCCCUGGGAGAAUUGGAUUUAAAUAAAUAAUAGUGAUGAGUCCCUUACAGGUGUACAGGUUAACUCCAAAAAUGUAAUUCUCGAUAACCCUAUUCUUCCCCAACCCAGUGCUUUUCCAUCAAGGAAACUAUAUAGUGGACUUAAUUUUCUGAGAAUAACACUAAUUUAAAAGUGUUUUUGAUAUCUUAAUUAAGUAACUUCCUCUCCUGUCCAGUUUGAAUUCAUCACAUAGUGUAGGUCUUGGAUUGGGAUUAUGUUAGAUGAUUGAAGUUAAAUUGAAAGAAGCCUGAAAAAUAGAGCAGAAAGGAAGAAGGUGUUUAUAUCAGUUUGACCCUAACCAAAAAAACCAAACCCACUGCCGUCGAGUCGAGUCGAUUUGAUAGCGACCCUGUAGGACAGAGUAGAACUGCCCCAUAGAGUUUCCAAGGAGCGCCUGGCGAAUUUGAACUGCCGACAUCUUGGUUUGACCCUAGUGACUAACAAUUUGCCUUUGGAAGCCUAUAGGUCAGAUGGAAUUUCUGUCAACCAAACAUGCCAGUGUGCCUAGUAUUAUGGUAGUCCCAGAUGUGAAUAAUGCCGCCAAGGAACUUUGUUAAAUGUGAAAAUGCUCAUCACCAGCACCAAAUUGGAUUCAAGAUUUCUAAGUCAUCUCCCAGGAAGUGAAAAUAUGUGGUGAUUCAUAAACAAAGUCUGUUGUCAAUUAAUUUAGUACCAGGUGCCCUAUGAAAAGGAGCCUAUUCAUUUGUGUAAUCUGGUGGGUAGCUCAACUUCAGCUGAUGAAACUGUAGAAUGUUUUAUAUAUUAGGAACCAGCUGACUACCAAGCAUUCGUGUUUCAGAAACUGGGACAACUUCCAAGUUAGUUUUUUGAAUCCUUUAAUUUCUCCUGCCAGACUCAUUAACUCAGCCUGUUCACCUUUGGGAAAUCAUAGUUCCAGACUUAUACUUUCUGUAAAAACCAUGCCUCUAAGUGAAUGUGAUGGUUGAUUGAGAGCAUUCAGACUUAAGCUUUUCAGUAGUUUAUUCUGAAACCAAUUUGUUGUGACUUUGACCAGGAGAGAAUGGUUAAGAUGAAGCAGUAGGUAGUAUUCAAAUUACCUGCAUUAAAAGACUUGAAUUCAAGGACACAAGGCAAUUAUGAGCCCAAGAGACAGAAAGGACCACAUGAACCAGAGACUACAUCAUCCUGACACCAGAAGAACUAGAUGGUGCCCAGCUACAACCAAUGACCGCCCUGACAGGGAACACAACAGAGAACCCCUGAGGGCAGUGGGGUACAGACCCCAAAUUCUCGUAAGACCAGACUUAAUGGUCUGACUGAGACUAGAAGGACCCCGGGGGUCAUGGACCCCAGACCUUCUGUUGGCCCGGGACAGGAACCAUUCCCGAAGCCAACUCUUCAGACACGGAUUGGACUGGACAAUGGGUUGGAGAGGGAUGCUGGUGAGGAGUGAGCUUCUUGGAUUAGGUGGACACUUGAGACUGUGUUGGCAUCUCCUGCCUGGAGGGGAGAUGAGAGAGUGGAGGGAGAGAGCGGGCUGUCUCAUUAGGGGGAGAGUAAUUGGGAGUGUGUAGCAAGGUGUAUAUGGGUUUUUGUGUGAGAGACUGACUUGAUUCGUAAACUUUCACUUAAAGCACAAUAAAAAUUAUAUUAAGAAAAACACUUGGAUUCAGUAAAUCUAUUUUUAUAUUCCACAUCUCAGAUUUUAUAGAAUCAUAAAGAUGGAAAGAGUCUCAACCAUCUUAAGUCAAUGUUUAAUUUUUUCUUAUGAAUCUUUUUGAGAUUAUAGUGACAGCUGUGGCUUCUUUCCUCAGAAAAAUACACUUACAUACAAAAGUUUGCAUUCAAUUUCUAGAUGAUCCUGAACUCUGGUUCAUGGAUACUAGAAAACUCCCUGUUCUAGUCCAAAGCGUGCCCUUGAGAGUCUAGAGAAGUGACAUACUUAAAGAAACACACCUAGAUAGAAGCUGAAUACUUGUGACUCUUAGUCUGCUGAUCUUUUUCCACCAUCGUUUCCCUUUCCUUAAACCAAACUCUGAAUUUGUACAGCUUAGAGGAAGGGCUAGAGGUUUUAGCCUUAAAGUCAACAAUUUCAGCUUUGGGUUAUCCAGGUAGAAGAGUAAAGUAUAAUAAUACCCAAAACAAUUAAAUCAUUGAUUUAGAGAAGUCAAAUGAACUAAGCAGUUUUAUAGCUUGUUCAAGGGCUGUCCAGAUACCUGGCUACCUAAUUGCUUCAUCAGUAGCUUACGUAGACUGCCUGCAUCUAAAUUAAGCAUAUAGCUGCCAGACAUAUCUCCCUGGAACAGUAGUUUCAUUUAUUCAUCCUGUCUGCCCUUUUUUUCUCCUCCUCCUCCUGAAGACAUCCCAUAAUUGUUCCCAACCUGACCUGCCCAGCAUUUUUUAGGUGGAAUCAAGCUGAAAGCCUGACAUUGCCUUAGCUGGCAUUGAUUAUCAUUGUUUAAACCCCGGUUUCAUCCUCUUGUAGCAGGGCACCUUCGGUCAGAUUACUCGCCUUCUCUGCUUCAGUAACUUCAUCUAUAAAAUUGGAAACAACACCUUUUAUCUUGUAGCCAAUCAUAUCGUAGGUUAGCCAGUAAGCAAGGUGUGCAUGGGCUUUCACAUUAUGCAAGGUAUACACGGUUUACUUACUAAUCUGUAGUGCACAAAGACGUGGUGAAACCUAGGUGAAGUUGUGCACUACAGACUAGUAGGUAAACACAAGUAAGCCUCUACGUACCUUGCUUAGUGCGUAACCCGUCCCUGCACCUAAUUCAGUUUAAGUGGUAGCUUUUACUGUUUCUUGCUACUUUCUUCUCAUUCUUUAUUGGAGUUAGGCAGGUGUCUUCAAGUACUUGGUGCUUAUGCUCUUUACUAUGCUAUUUAUUGUCUUCAUUCUCCACAUCAUUUGUUAAACAUUAGCCAAGUUCCUUUUCUGUUUUAGUGAUGGCUGUUGGAGUAGAGAUGUACUAUUUUCUCUUCUUUUUCCUGUAUUCAUAAUAGUUUCCCUAUUGAUACUUCUAUAUGGAACUCUUCUACAAAAUUUGAUCAUGAAAUUACCAGAAAGCUAUUUAUGAGGCUUUUAAGAAAAUUUUUCUUCUCACAGUUUCCCGUUGCCAGGUCAGUUAUUUUAUUUCCAAUAAAAUAAACACUUGAGAUUGAUAGUGAUAAAAGAGAACCUUCUUUGAAAAUCCAGAUUUCCAUUGCCACAGUAGUAGGGAUAAUGUCGCAAAGCUCUGCUUACAAUUUGGUACUUCCACGGGUUCAGAGCUAGUACUUUGCUUCUGAUCUAAGGGGGUAGGAGAAUGGGUGAAAAAACAGUUGCUGUUGAGUCAGCCCUGACUCAUGACAACUACAUUUGUGUUAGUAGGACUGUGUUCCAUAGGGUUUUCAAUGGCUGGUUUUUCAGAAGUAGAUCGCCUUGUCUUUCUUCUGAGGCUCCUCUGGAUAGACUCAAACCUCUAACCUUUUGGUUACCAGAUGAACAUGUUAACUGUUUGCUCUACGCAGGGACUUCUAGGAGAAUGGUUAGGAUUCCUAAAUUGAUUAGAAGAAGAAUUUCAGCUCUUAAUCCUCUAUCUUGAUCAUGUUCCUCUUAUAUUUUGAGAAAAUUACUAUGCAUAUCCCCAGUAGAUAUAUAUUUAUUCAUAAAACAUUAACUAUUCUAAUAUUGUAUACAUUAUGAAAACAUGUAAAAAUAUAAGGGACGAGCUUUUUUAAAAAAAUAAUUCUGUUAUUCCUGUGCCCCAGAGGAUCAUCUAACUUGAUCAUUCAUCUUUGGAGAUACUCUUUUAUCUAAUUCUUUUUAUUCUUCAGACCUAACUCAAGUCUCUACUCUUGCUUAAUUGUUUGAUUUCACCAUUUUAUCUCUACAACUGGGCUGUUAACUCCCUGAGAUUAGAGACUGUCUUAUCUUUCUUUUGUGUCCUGUAACAAAGUCUAGCACGAUGAUGAUUAUUCAAUAUGUACUUAUAUGUAUUUGCUGAUUCAUUUCCUGGGGGUCAUUUCAAAGUAAUAUUUCACUGAUUACAAAAUAAUCACAAAUGGGAAAAAAAAAUUUUUCAUCAUUAUUCUCCCUUAGUAAUUCUGGGUUUCAUUCCUUGUGCUAUUCAUCUUCCAAGAUUAAAGAUAAUCAAGUCUAUCUGUACUUACAAUUUUGCAAAAAUAGAUAUACUGUAUAUGAUAAAAUGAUUUGAUUGAGACAUCACAGGAACAUUGCAGUCUGAGAACAAAAUCUUUUCAGCACCCACAUCUGUUUUUGUCCCUUGCAAUUUCUGCCCUUUAAUCCCUUAUCAAAUGCCUGAAUUGUAAAUCAUAGCAUUUUUUUUAAUAACUUUUAUUAAGCUUCAAGUGAACGUUUACAAAUCCAGUCUGUCACAUAUAAGUUUACAUACAUCUCACUCCCUACUCCCACUUGCUCUCCCCCUCUUGAGUCAGCCCUUUCAGUCUCUCCUUUCUUGACAAUUUUGCCUGCUUCCCUCUCUCUCUAUCCUCCCAUCCCCCCUCCAGACAAGAGUUGCCAACACAAUCUCAAGUGUCCACCUGAUAUAAUUAGCUCACUCUUCAUCAGCGUCUCUCUCCCACCCGCUGACCAGUCCCUUUCAUGUCUGAUGAGUUGUCUUCGGGGAUGGUUCCUGUCCUGUGUCAACAGAAGGUCUGGGGAGCAUGGUCGCCGGGAUUCCUCCAGUCUCAGUCAGACCAUUAAGUUUGGUCUUUUUAUGAGAAUUUGGGGUCUGUAUCCCACUGAUCUCCUGCUCCCUCAGGGGUCCUCUGCUGUGCUCCCUGUCAGGGCAGUUAUCAAUUGUGGCCGGGCACCAACUAGUUCUUCUGGUCUCAGGAUGAUGUAGGUCUCUGGUUCAUGUGGCCCUUUCUGUCUCUUGGGCUCUUAGUUGUUGUGUUCUUUUUAUACUUUCUCUGGAGUUAAUUUGUGCUGGAGUUGUUGGUGUACCCACUAUUUGGAGACACUCUUUAUAUUUUACUUUGUAUUUUAUAUUUUGUAGGUCUCUGUUUUGUUCCUCUGAACCACUACUGUGUUCUUUGAUUCUAAUGACCCUUUUAAAUAUCUGACAUUAAUUAUUUGCAACGGCACUUAGAAAUUCUUCACAGCUAUUCAGUUCCAUGAAUUUCAGAGGCCUAAUGUCAUAACCUUGCUCUUACACCAUGCCUAUAUUGUCAUCUCUUUCUGGCCAGAGAAGCUAGUAUCUAGGAAGAAAAAAAUAAGACCGAUGUCUUAGGGUUCUCUAGAGAAACUUAACUAGUAAGGUGCACAGAAAGAGAAAGAGAGAGGUUGGUUUAAUUUAAGAAAUUGGCUCAUGUGAUUGUAGGGGCUAGCAAGUCCAAAAUUUGUAGCUCAGGCAAGAGCCUUGAGAUCCCAUCAGUAUUGUGGCCUAAAAUCCGUAGGUCAGGUGACAGGCCAGAGACUCCUGCAGUCUUGUGUCCCGAAAAGAGUGGAGAAAUUCUGGCAACAUGUCUUUUUCUAGUCCGGAAGCAGAAUAUACCCUAGGGAAAACUCCCUUUUUACUCUUUGAUUGAUUGAUUGAGGCCCAUCCACAUUAUGGAUGGAGGGUAAUCUGCUUUACUUAAGGCCAACUGAUUUAAUCACAUGUAGCAACUUCAUAAUAGAGUCUAGGUAGCGUUCGAACAAACAACUGGGUACCAUAGCCAAGCUAAGUUGACACAUAAAAUUAACCAUCACAACUGGUUUAUAGUCAACUGGAAAUCAAUACAGCAAAAGACAUGAAAACCAAAACACUGUUGUCCUAAUUUGUAGUUCAUUUGUUCUUCAGUGAUUAUGCCAUUCCUUCAUAAAUGCAAUACUCUGUACUUAAUUAUUCACUAAUAUUGGAUCAUAACCCGGUGCCCUCAAGUCAAUUCCAACUCAUAGCGACCCUAUUGGAUCAUAGUUGUUACCAAUUUCAAUUUAAAGGUUUUAGAAUUUUUAUUAUUCCAUUUGCUUGAUCAGUAUGUUAGUCAUUUUUGCUUCAUAACACCCUCAAAAUUUCAGAGUCUUAUAAUGACUAACAUUUGUUUUUCUUACUCAUGGCUAUACUGGUCAGUUGGGAUGGCUGUGCUUCAGCCUGCAGGUUGGAUUUAGGCCUGCUCCACAUGUCUCUCAUCUCCUUGUACUAGUGGCCACCUGUACAUGUUCUUUUCAUGAGGACUGGCAUGAACACAAGAGUUCAAGCCAAAUCACUCAAGCACAUAUGAAGACUCUGCCCAUAUCACGUCUGCUAAAAUUACAUCAACCAAAGCAAGUCAGUGACCUAGCCCAAUACCACUUGAGCAAGGUGUAUACUAUGCCCACAGUGGUAGGCAGCACAAAGUUACAGGACAAAAGAGCUAGACUUUAAAUGCUGUUAAAGGGAAAUAAAAAACUAGGAAAACACUCGGAUCUACCACUGUAGGGAAGUAAGCCAUUAAAACAAUCAUUAAUUUCCCGAUAUAGGUCCUGUGGACUAUAAACAUGAGAAUACUUUUCUUUCCAUGGAUAGCUUACAUCUUAUUUGACUACGUUAUUUUGAUACUUCUCCAAAGCUCUGAAUUUCUCUCAUUAUCGCUUUAGCGUAAAAUUGUUGUUUAGUAUAAUGAACACAAAUAGAGAAGAUGGUGAUAUUAAUUGCCUUCAGUGCAUUGUUUGCGAAAGAAGUAGAAUUGCUGAUUGAUUAAGGAAAAAAUUAAGGGGUAGGUUAAAAAGGGUAUUAUAAAUUGAAUUAUUUCCCCCAAAAAUAUGUGUUGUAAAUUGUAACCUCUAUGCCUGUGGUUAUAAACCCAUUUGGGAAUGGGUUGUCUUUGUUAAGUUUAUGAGGCAGGUUUAGUGUAAGAUGUGUUUUGAGACAAUCUUUUUUGAAAUAUAAAAGAGAUUAAACAAGCAAGCAGAGAGAGAUGGAGUAAGAUAGAUGCCAAGACAGGUGGAGAUUUCCAAGGAACUAGGAAGCAGAAGCUGAAGAGAAAGCUCCAAGACAAGGCUUUCUCUCUCUGUCUCUAGAGCUGACAGGAAAAGCCUUCCCCUACAGCCAGUACCCUGAAUUUGGACUUGUAGCCUCCUAAGCUGUGAGAAAAUAAAUUUAUGUUUGUUAAAGCCACCCACUUGUGAUAUUUCUGUUAUAGUAGCACUAGAUAACUAAGGCAAGAGGCUAGGGUAGAAAACCACCUAAAUAAAAUAAAGCAUUCUUGCAAAUAAAUUAUAUUAACAUAUCUAUUCUUACUUAAUGCAAGAGAAAGUUCAAAAGUGGUGUUUUAUAGUCGUAUGAUUACCUAGCAACCUAAUUAAAGUCAAUUUUAAUAUAAUGUUUUAUAACUAAAUAUGAGAAUGAGUUUGUAUAUUGGUGUUAAUGCCUACUAAAUUCUGCAAUGUCAUUAAUAGUUUCCUGCAAACAUUUUCUUCCUGAAAUAAUGAUAGGUGCGGCUGCUUUCCUUUGUAAUAUUUAAUAUUUUCUUUAUUGCCUUAUCUUUAUUCCUAAACAGAAAACAUCUUUUUAUUUUGAAAUUAUCACCUCAAUUGGUAAUAUUUCAUAUAACGCACACAGAAUUCACUUUGUUUGAACAGGUGAAAUACUAUGAAAACUCAAAGGGAAUGGCUCUUGGUUAUAGCAUGUAUUAUUGCGGUUAUACCUUCUUUAAUGGUAUGAUCAAGAAAACUAAACAAGUUAUGUAUUGCAGCCAAACCCAAAGCCAAACCCAGUGCCGUCAAGUCAAUUCCAACUCAUAGUGACCCUAUAGGUCAGAGUAGAACUGCCCCAUAGAGUUUCCAAGGAGCGCCUGGUGGAUUCAAACUGCCGACCUUUUAGUUAGCAGCCGCAGCACUUACCCACUAUGCCACCAGGGUUUCCAUGUAUUGGAAUGCUAUGCAAUAUUAGGCAAAACCUAGUCCACCUUUUUCAUCAUGGCCUUGAGAGUUUAUUUUAUCUAUGGUACGUGUGCCUGGCUUUACAAAACAAAUGUAUUCGUUUUGCUACGUGUAUGUUUGUGCAUGUGUGUAAUUUUCAACUGCCUUUUUAAACUUUUAUUUUAAAAUAUACUCUCAGAAGAACUUGCAAAAAUAGUACAGAGAAGUUCUUCAUACCUAUUUGCAGCUUCCCUCAAUGACAACAUUAGACUAAAUUUUAAAUAAUUGAAUGACCUUUUCUCUACUCUUUACUAAGCCUGUUUGUUUUAGAAAUUUAAGUUUUUUUAAAGGCAGAAUACCGGUAAUGUGUCUGAUCCUCUUUAAUUUUCAGAAUUAUAAAGUGUCAUUUAAAUAGUCUUAGGUCAUUAUUGCUUUAUCUGUUUAGUACAUUCUUUGUCCAUUCUCCCAAUUUCCAGGUGGUACCAUUGAUUAGGAAGGGAUAGGUCUCACCUACCUUUCUGGUACAUUUCUCUCCAGCAACUUAAAAGAUAUGCAAGCCCCAAUUUAUUCUUAUAUUAAAGAAACACAUUUGGUUGAAUAUUUAGAUUUCUUGUUUUACAUUUAUUUUUGUGAUGUUUGAAAACUUUAAAAGUUUUUUUUUUUUAAUAUUGUCUCUCUUUUUUUUUUUCA